GCUGCAUGUGUUGUCAAGGAAGUGAAGGUGCUCUUGGUGUGUGUUUAAACCGACUGCUAAGCAUGUCCCCGUUACUCAGGCCGCCAAUAAUAUCAUCUGAUCAUACUAUGAGGUAUUUACUAAGUCCUACGAUCUGAACAUGAAUAUGGAUAUAUUCUCAAUACACCAACUCGAAGGUUGCGCGUUGAACUCAGAGUCUUCGUCAUUUCAUUAUGGGAGGGGCUUAUGUGCGGCAAUCAUCAUAGUUAUGCAUCAUUAGCAGACUCUCAAAUGGUGGGUUUUCACACUUUGGAAUAUUCAGCAUCUUUCAGUUCUUAUAAAUCUGUAUUCCACUUGAUCUUGAGCUGCCACAGAUGAAGUACCAAGCCAUUUUCAGAAAAGGGAGCUGAGAAAAUGAACUGGAUACUGAUUUGCAGUUGGAUAUGUGGCACCGGUCUUGUCUGUCUUGUUGGCUGUGUGAACUCUGGAAUUCAUUGAUUGCAAGCCGUAGCUUUCUCCUGCAAAUUUGUGGCUGUAAUGUUCAUGGCCACCCGCCCUUGAGACCGAUUGAUAGGUGUCCAAGUUGCUGUUUCUGAGAUGUUAUAUCUCUCAUGUAAGUUUAAGUCAAUUCCAUGGAAGCAGUUACUCAUGUCAUGCCUCAGGCUAGACUUUCCUACAUAUCAUUUUCGAAACAUUUCAAUGCACAUAAUCCACAUGUCAGAAAUACUAGAAAUUUACAUGCUUAAGGGUUCCGGUGCAUAUUUUGGAUGCCUAGGUUACAUAUGCACUAACAUGCCUCAUGAGAUUGCAUUUAGGUGCUUCUUGCAUUGUGGGAUUUGUUUAGUUUAUUAUAUGUCUUGUCUCAUCAUGGAUAUUAAGAAGUUCCCAUUUAUUAGAUUAACACACGUUUACUUUUCACAAACCGCUCGCGAGUCCCGUCCCAGGGCAUAAUAACGAGGCAUCAUCUCAUUUUUUGCCUAAUAUGAUCCUCAUAUUUUACUUUAAUUGCUUUAAUUAUCCGUUGUUUAUGUUUCAUUGUUUGAGCAUCCAUGUAUAAUCGCGAUGUACAUAGAGGAUUUAGGGAAAUCACGGAGAUUAAGUUCACAUUUAUUAGAGUAACGCGCAUUUGCUUCUCACAAGGGUCCCGUUCCAGGGCAUAAUAACAAGGCAUUGUCUAAUUUUGUACCUAAUGCAAUCCUCGUACUUUACUUUAAUUGCUUCGGUUAUUGGUUAUUUAUGAUUCGUUCUAUGAGCAUCCAUGUAUGAUCGCUAUGUACAUAGAGGAUUUAGGGAAAAUAAAAUCGACAAGAUCACUAUAACUUGUUUUCAAGAAAGAGAAAAUCGUACCACACUGGGCAUUUGAUAAACAUUUAGCAUAAUCAAAUUCUCCAUAUUCGAAUCUUUGAUUUGCAUAAAUAAAAUGUUAUCUGACAUUUUUUGGUCUCUAACAAAUUAGUAGCAACUCUAAAAGUAUAUUUAAUUUUCAUAAUUAAUUCCGGAAAUCAAAUUGUAAUCGGAAAGACUUGGGAGACCUGGAUCUAAGAGCUAGCGCCAACUGUUGGCGCUUGCUUGGCAAUCCAUUGAACUCCCCCGGGAUUUCUUCUUGGGAAGAUUGCCACACUAAUUAGCAAGACUCAACCUAAAAUUGCAUGUAAGCAAAAAAAAAUAUAUUGAUAACCACAUAACUUAAUAGAUAGUCUUAAGUUAAAUAUCAAUUAAUGUAGUAUGUAAGGAAGCUCUCGCUCCAUUAGUCCAGUGACGAAAUGUUCAUUGGAAAUUACAAUCUUACUAGUUAGUUAUACUAUCAGAACUUCAUAUAUUUACUAUUCCAUAUUUAAGUGAGGAUCAUUUAGUACGUAGUCCAAUACAAACGUACCAUUUNNNNNNNNNNNNNNNNNNNNNNNNNNNNNNNNNNNNNNNNNNNNNNNNNNNNNNNNNNNNNNNNNNNNNNNNNNNNNNNNNNNNNNNNNNNNNNNNNNNNAAUCUGGUAGGGGUGUCAAGAACCGAACCGAAAACCGAACCGAACCGAACCGAAAAAUUCGGUUUUUUCGGUUCGGUUCGGUUUUCGGUUCGGUUCUCAUUAAAAACCGAAUUUUUUUUUAUCGGUUCGGUUUUUAUCGGUUAACCGAACCGAACCGAACCACAAACCGAUAAACAAACCAAUAUUGUUUGCUCGAUUUUUCAUCCUUUACUCCCCUGUUUUUGCGUUUACCAGUUUUGCAGAUUGUGGAUUGCUCAUAGUGAGUGAAUCGCGACUGUUUUCUCCCAUUUCUUUCCCCCGCUCCGGCUCGUCGCCGUUCCGUUCGGCGUGCUUCGGUCGAGCGUGAGAGAGCCUUGAUCAUCAGCUAGAGAGGCUCUCCCUCCCCGUUUCGUCGUCUUCCUCCUCCAUCGCUCCACUUCAUAAAUACUCUCUCUCUCUCGGUCACAUCGUCUUCUUCCCUCCGCUAUAAUCUCUCUCUCGGUCACGCUUUGGCCGAUUCGUUGGUUUUCUUUUGGGGGGGGGGCUUUUUGGGGGACUGGUCAGUCAUAGAUCGGAGUGAAAGCAGAGAAAGGCUGGGGUUUUGUCCAUUUCCUUCUCGAUUCCGAGGACUGUUCAGUUGUCAAUCGAAGCGACCGGAGCUGUGCCGGCGGAUAACGAGCGAGGGUGGGAGGAGAAGGCCGUUGAGGGGAACGUGGUCGUGGAGGCGGCGGAGGCAAAGGAGGGGACAGCGGAGACCCGGAGGGAGGGGAAGAUCGCAGGGUGAUUUUGAACGGGAAAAAAAGAAGAAGCUAAAAACCGAAAACCGAAAACCGAACCGAACCGAAAUUUCGGUUCGGUUCGGUUCGGUUCGGGUCUCAUUCGGUUCGGUUCGGAAAAUUUUUCUAACGGUUCGGUUUGGUUCGGUUUUUUUGAAAAACCGAACCGAACCGAACCGUUGACACCCCUAAAAUCUGGGGUGCAUUCGAUUUGGCUUUUGGAUAAGAUGGGAAAUUAACAUUUUCAUUAAACUUCGGCUGGGAACAUGCGAAAAAGUGUUACUUUUCAAAGCCUUUUCUACCCAUGUGUCGAGCUAAAGCCCUUUUGAGAACUUUAUAGGUGCAAUUGCAUCUUCCUAAAACUCUUCAAAACAUUUGCCAAUCACAACUUGUAUUUACCCAAUAACCUUGAGAGGUUUAAAGGACUUUGCAAACGUGUUGCCCGACGCACCAUCAAUGAGUUUUGACGAAGAACCUGAAUCUCAUAGAGAGAAACAUCAUGCGCUAGCCGCAGCAUCAGCUUCCAAUCCCAUACUCUGCCACUUCCAUGCUCGAGCUAAGCAACAAUCCUCUGCUCUUAAAGCCAUGGCCUCAGCUGCUUCCACAUCCACAGCGCCGCUACUCUGCCAACUAAUUCAUUUCCAAAGACCGCUUUUCAUCAAUACCACCAGGGGAAGAAGGCCUCUCUGUCCAACUCCUUCGGAACCCUUUCCCUGUUUUGGUGCAAAUAAGCUCCUUAGGAGCUGGGUGUGGCCCACAAGGGGCCCACCAUAGGGAAAAAAAUGGGAAACCUUUUUUUUUUUUUUUUUCGACUGUGCUGUUUCCCCUGUUUCCUCCGAACCCACCGUUUCCGGUCUCCCACGGUUUCUCACGGUUCUCGGCAAUGUAAGGGCGUUGGUGAUUUUUUUUUUCCCAAGAAUAGAAAAUAGAAUAAAAAUAGAUGUGGUAACAUACCCCGGAAUAGAAAAGGGGCCAAGGAAUAAAUUUAAAACAGAAAUAAAAAGAAUUACUUGUUUCCGAAAAUAAUUUAUAGAAAUAAGUCAUUUUCUUUUUUUCAUUUUUUUCUUUUCUUCUUCUUCCUCUUCUAAUUGGUCAAUGAAGACUUGCUAGCCGCCACCAUUGCCAGCUAGAGGAGGAGAAAGAAGAGGGGAAAUAAAGAACAAAAUAUUAAAAGAAAUUAUAUGGCACAAAAAAAUUUGUGAUUCAUACCAAAUGCAUCUCUAUUCUUUUUCUAUUAUAGUUAGCAAACAUGUUGUUUUACUCAAAAAUUAUUUCAGAGAAUAAAAAAAAAUUCUGAAAAGAAAUUGUUUUCUAAAACAGAAAUGUUAUCAAACGUAUUCUAAAAUACAUACAUGAUUUUGUUUUGUUUUGUUUUUUUUUCCUUUCCCAGGUGACAUUUGCUAUGUCUUGUUCUUUAGGACGUCCAUGUUUCCUGGAUUUGAUUCGGUUCCUUCCAUAAAAUUAUAGGCGUGAUUCCAGUGUGGGCAAAAAAUGAUAGGAAUAAAGUAAUUUGCAAAUUUAAAAAAAAUACGUAUUUCUUUGUAGUUGAAUUAACUUUGUCAACUGCAGAAUCUGCUGAUUUGGCAUUACAAGGCGACAACUCAUUUUCUUGGCAAAAAAAUUACGAAGUUUUAUACAUACAAGGUGUCAAGAAUGUGCCUUCUCGACGAUUAAGAUCACUUGCUAUGCCCUCUACUCAUUCGGCACACGGCCCCACUUUGCCCUUUUACUUUAAUGUUUUCAUCUCCUCUUCCAUUUCUCCAUCUCGUGGUUUACUUGGAUUGUGAACGCUUAAUAGCCCCCUAAUGACUAUUAGCAUGUGUCUCGCUUGAGGACCAGGUUCACUUCUCAAAUUUGAUACUUUUGUCUUCCCAUUGAAAUUGUCAAUCAUAUAUCAUCACAGAUCAUAUUGCCAGAGACCAAAUUCUCAGUGAAGUGAAUAAUUGUCUUCCGAAAACUGGUGGUGGAUUACUAGAGAGAGAAGAAUCUCAAUGAAUUUCCACCACCGGUGUGGAUCCACAAAUAAUGCGUUACAAGGGGUGGAAGAUCCGUAAAACUAGCUUAUCAGGAGAGGGAGCCAUACCCAUUAUAAGCCCCAAAAUAUUUCCUUAGUUGCUUGACAUGGGACUUUUGCCGAUAAAAAACCUCAAUCUCAAAGAGAGAAACAUCAUACACGACUGCAGCUUCAGUUUCCAAUUCCAUACUCUGCCACUUUCUUGCUUAAGCUACCAACAAUCCUAAUCUUAAAGUCAAGGCCUCAGCUACUUCAGCAACCACAACGGGAACGACUCUGCCAACAAAUUCAUUUCAAAAUUUUUUUUUUAUUAACGACACUACAGCUCUCUCUCUCACUCUUGGCCGCACUUCUUCAUUGCCGAUUUUGGCUGGCCGCCAGUGCCCCCACGGCGGACGACCUCCGCUCCACAUGCCUCACACCCUCCCCCAGCCAGUCGCAAGCUAAGCUGCACCAGCGCAUCGCCGGCUGACCUCAAACCAGCCGGUUCUUCCUCUUGGGCCUAACAACAGCUCACACGCCAGUGCUGGUUCCAGUAGCUUCUGAUGAUGAUUUGGUCGCCCGCCGGCAAUUCCUCAGUGAUCCGACUCUUGUGACGGCAUUCUCAACCUGUCCUCGAAGUGGUGGCGGUUGAAGCUUAGCCAAUACUCCACCGGAUCUCCUUCAACUUGAUCAUUUCCUUUGUUUGUUCACCCAAGCUCCUUAAUCCGAAUUUUCACGUAGUUUUUUUGUGCUGUGAUUUCAGUGAGUUUCUGAGCGUCCUUGGCCGUUCUGUGAAGUCCUCGAAGUACAUACGGAGGCCGGAUCGCUCGAUCAAGUGUCAAGGCAUCACGAACAAAGUUUGUAGAUCAAAGAUUUUAGUUUAAGAUUGUGGAGGAAAUUUAACGAAGCCAGAUGCGCAUAUGGAGUUGUGAUGACUAAAUGCUGCUGAAAGGUUGCUGUUUUGUAGAAAUUGAUUAACAAUUGCUUGUUGAUUGAUUGAUGAUUGCUAGCAUGCCUUGUAAAAUCGUAGCUCACUGAGUCAGUAGGCUUCACAUAUGGAUUUGAGCUUGAAAACAUCAAAAUUUCGAAAAGUGUUCUACUAGAGAACCAAAUAGACAUCCCAAGCUUCAAAAAUGAUAGAUUUCACGUUAACAUUGGAGUUCAUUUUCUAUGUCAAAAUCAGCUCCUAAUCUGAUGUCAGAAUCUGGAAAAACUGACUUGGGUUCUGUAAUAGCAGUUCUUGACAUAACCUUGCUCGGUUCUUUGAUUUUUCUGAUUUUUUGUGUUAAGAAUCUCGGAAAUGUUCUGCAUGAAAGUUGUAACUGAGAUUUCAAGAUUUUUUGUGAUAUCAAUUUGAUUGAAAUUUAAGCUCGUUUGAUCGCUCAAAGGUCUCAUCAAUGUGCCGAACUUUUGCGCAGUCAGAUCUGGGAAAUUGCUUUCCUGAGCGCCGGACGUGUUUUGCGAUUUUGAUGGACUUGGGGUCCUUUUUUUGCAAAAACUCAGAACUAGAAAGUUGUUCGUUAGGGUCUUAAUUAGCAGACCACAUUUUUGAGGACUAAAUAAUAAAGUUUAGAGGGCCUCACGUGCAAUAAAUUGGACAAGGUCGGCACCGGCCAAUAAAAUUGUUUUGAGAUGAGUCCCUGGGAGAUUUGGCCAAUAUCACAUAGUUUAAGGGCAAAGUAAGAGCAGCACGAGUGCUACAACUUUUGUAUGAUGCUCAUUUAAGGGCAAAAACUUUUUUUUGGCUUACUUGAGCAUCAUAAAUUUGAAAAAUUAAUCACUUUAGUACUGGCAAUUUGUCUUGUUAGAAAAUCCAAUAUGUGAAAAAGUUGGUCGGUUAGAAAAUUUGAAAAAGUUGGUCAUUCUACGUGGCUUCAUUGGCGUUGAUGUGGAUACUUUUUUAAUAUUUUAAUAAUUUAUUAUUAUAUUUUAAUUUUGAAUUUUUAUUUUACAUUUGUUUCCUUUGUCUUUUAGGGCCGGCUAGGAUCACCUCACCAAUCACAAAACCCUCACCCUCGGUCAUGAAGGCCUAGGUCCCGACCUCACUGGCCGCAAUUGGGGCCUUGAUGGCCCUUGCCAAAUCUAGGCAUGGCGAUGUCACGAUGCACUUGCCUAAGGCCUUUGUAGCCAUACUAGGCGAGGGUUUCGUGGCCAACAAGGGUCGUUAGUGACCCUCGCCGACCCUAAGAAAAAGCAAAAGGAAAACAAGAAAAUUUUGAAAAAAUUCAGCUAUGAUGAUUUGUCAAAAUUAACACUCAAGUGAUCAAUUUUGCUUUGAUGUGGCAUUCAAGCAAGCAAAAAAUAAAAUAAAAAUCAUGACAUUCAAGUGAGCAUUAUAAGAAAGUUAUGAACUCUUGAUAUUCUUGUCUCAUUUAAGGGCAAACAACAAAUUUUCCAAUAACAGUCUGAACUACCUUCAUAUAAAAUUUGGAGGGAUUGAAAGCUAUUUGAUAUUUUUCCUAAAUUUUCCUAGAAAGUCGCAAAGAGAGCACUUGGUAUAAACGGCCAAUAGGACCGGGAUUAGGAAAAGCGGUCUUCAUGACUUUUGAAGAACAUUUCUCAAGCUUUCUUAUGACACCCGAAUCAUUCAAAUUGAAGGUCGUUUGGUCAUUUAAUUGAUUGCCAAUCUAAUCAGCCUGAAUUUCACUAAUAACUGAAUAAGUGACCCUAUUUUGGUUCACUUCCCUUUGCUUGACGUGAAUCAAGAUCAAUUGACCUGAAUGCUUGCCUUAUUUAGUGUAUAUGCAUGUCUUUGUUAGAUGGAUGAGUAAGUGCAAUGUAUGAUCAAUUGGGUAGCCUAUUGGGGUUAAAUAGAACAAAGUUAGUGGGUCAAUUGAUAUCGACCGUUGUUUUGUGAAUGCAAAUUGUGACCAACUACAUUAACCAUUAAUCAAUCAAUCUUAGUCAAUAGGGGAUCAGGAUGGUCGAAGUGCAUGAAAGCAAAGGCCAAUCCCGAGGCCAAUUCGUUGUUUGGUGAAUGAGUGAUCUUGAUUUGCCUUGAUUGUUUCUUUGCAUAUCCUUUGUUUGAAAUGGAUUGGUUGAGUACAAAACCGACACCUGUGAGGCAUUCCAUGGAGGAGAUGACAACCGCAAGUCAUGAUGUUGAAGGCCAAAGAACGAUGUCCAAUCCGGUCUCGUUUUUACUCGAUAAUGUCUCAAGUUUUUUAUUCGAAUUUGUAAUAAUUACCCGACAAGUUGCGGGUUUUUCAUUAUUGCACUUGGAAUAGCUAGAUCUUUUAUUUCGUUGGGCGUUUACUUAAGGCACUGUUUUUUAAUAUAUUGUUUGUUAAUUGGAUUUUCUAGGCUACAUUUAAGAUUAGCGUAGAAAUUAUUAAUGAACCUUCCUACAAAAGCAUGUUGCAAUGAAAAUGGUAAUAACAAAUGCAUGACCACUUAGAUAACAUCCCGACAAGUUAAGUACUGAAAUGACACUAAUAGAAAUGUUAGCUUAAUCUAAGUCCCUGAAUCCAAAAUUUUUGGUUCAUAGAAAUUGAGAUGACCCUCCUGCUUCUCCAUGGGCUUUAUAGCCGAUCUCGAUAUGAGGCUACCAGUGACUCCUGGACAAUAUGUAGGAUGUUUAAAGAACUUAUAAAACAAUAUCUUGUCAGGCAAGGUAUGGACUUGGAGUCUGCGUUCUCAAUUGAUGGACCUCCUGGACGGUUCAAGUCACCUUUAUGUGAUGUGCUGUUUGGAACAUCUUGUGAAUAAUUACCUCUACCCUUCAACAUAAGGGUGGCCCCUCACUGGAUGGGGUUGCGACAACACCUAGUCCUAAUUGAACUAUAAAUUGAACUAGACUUUGAGAUGACAAAACUUACCAGACUACUAGAAUGAAACCAACUGGAAUAGAAAGCUAAUUUGGGGACUGUCACGACUUGGCUACAACUGAGAUGGCUAGCAAGUAUCACAUAGAGGGGGUGGAUAGGUGAUUCUCAAGAACUUGACAAUUUAAAAUGGAAUAGAAUGAAUCAAGAUUAAAGUCCGAAUAGGGACAUAUUCCAACACGAGUUUCAGAGUUUGUUACAUUGUAGAAUAGACUUUAAGAGGAACCUAUGAGUAUGCAAUAGAGUAUAACGGUAAUCAAUAAGAGAGUAAGGAUCAGAAAAAUACACAAAGUUUAUAAUUGUUCGGCUUAAAUCAAGCCUAUGUCCACCCUCUUACGCUAACAACCUAUUGGCUAGAUUUUACUAUAUGAUCAAUAAGAGAUUACAAUUUUGAGUGUAAACACUUAGUGGUAGAUUACACUAUCUCAGUUAAUUACUCUUUCUGUAUUUCUCUCACGACAACAAAAUUGAAAUUUACGAAAGACAAGUGUAUGAUUGAAGUUUGCUCAAACUUUGGAAUUAUAGAUUUUAGGCCUCGUCUAUAUUUUGCUCCUUGGCACCAUGGUCUCCUUCUAUACUUCUCCACUUCCAAUCUAGCCGUUGGACAAUCUCUAGAGGAUCACCUUCCAAUCUGUUGGCACCUGAAUUUUUGCUAAAUAUUUUAAGAUAAAAUUGCAUAAAAGAAAACCAAGGAUUAAUUUGGUCUUAACAAAAAUGUUUUUUGCAUCACCUAGUUAUUACUAUCAUUUGCUUUUACUAAGUUUUUUUUUUUUCUAUUCCCCUUAUUUUUCAGAUAAUUAUUAAGAGAGAGAGAGAGAGAGAGAGAGAGAGAGGUCAAGGCCCAUGUGGGCUAGGCCUUUGUGCCCAGCCCUCCUUCUUCUUUGUCUUCCACGUGGGCCGAGACCCAUCUGGCCCCCUCACCUUUGCAGCCUAGCCCCCCUUCGUCUUUCUUCUUCUUCCUUCCUUCUUCCCUCCUCUGCCUCUGCCUCACGCAUAGAGACCGAAGACAUGCGCAGAGGACGACCUACAGAAAGCUUAAUAACUGAAACACACACAGAAAAAAUUUAAAAGUGCAAAUAUAAAUUAGUUAACAGUUGAAGAUAUGUAUGAUUAUUUUCUAUAUUGAAAUUUAGAAGAUAUAUUUGCAUAGGAAAAGACGCAAAGUUUAGAGUCAUAAGUACUAGUGUUGGCAACAAAAUCGGUAAUUUGAUGAUGAAAUUGGAAAGGGAUGCUAUAAUUUAUAAGAGUUGUGUUGGUUAUAAUGUGUCUUUUUAUUAUUUGAUUGGGGGGGGGGGGUAACUUGAGAAUAGAUUCUGUUUUUUGUUGGGGAUAACUUUAGAAGAAAUGAAAAAAGUGUGACAAAGUGUGGUUUUGGCUUAUGUCAGGAAUGCAUGUACAUAUUAUUUAUAAAGUUACUUUGAUGGAAUGCUUGCUUAGUCGAUAUAUUUGCUUAUGUCCUACAAAAUUUCUAUAAAGUUAUCUUGUUGGAUAUACAUAAUUGUUUGAUAGGUGGCUUCAAAAUUAAAGGUCAUUAAUUUGAUAAGUUGCUUCUUGUUAAAAAAAGAAAAAAAAAGAAAAAGAAACUCUGACCUCUAUGCAUAUUUAUCAUUAGAAAUAUUAAUUCUGAGGGAGUGUGGCAAGCUUACGACACUUCCUAACUUAAUUGGAAUGCCAAAGUGGUUAGUUGAGCUGGAUGUCUCAAUAACAGGCAUUGUAGAGUUGCCAAAUUCCAUUGUCAAUCUAAAGAGCUUGAAAGUGUUGAAAAUGAACGAUAGCCGCAUGCAAAAGUUACCCGAGCCUAUUGGGAUGAUGGAGAAACUUGAGGAAAUUUAUGGAGAGUGUUGUAAGUGGCUAGAGGUGAUUCUUAGUGAUAUCAUGAGACUACCAUUCUUGAAGAUUUUGAAAUUAACACACUUGUGUGGAGAAUGUACCAAAGCUUCCAUAGAGCUUGAUAAGUUUAUGUUUGUCCUCAAUUGCCGCACAAAAAAGUUCCAGAGAUCUCCAACUUGGUGAACCUUCCGAGUUUAAGAAAAUUGGAAGUAUGAUUCAGCAAAGGCGACGAUAAAACCUUUGUUUACUAUAAAUUGAAGUGUCAACUCCAUGCUUUUUACAGCUCAUUGCGUAUGAAUCUUCCGAGUAUUACCUACAUAAGCUCAUUUGGGGGUUGGUUUCGUUGUCCAAGAGAAUUUGAACUCAUUCGGUGCAGGAACCUGCAGCAGAUUCAAUAACUUCCCUCUGGUUUGAGGAAACUCAAAAUUAGUAAUUGUGAUCUUCUUGAAGUUGAUGACCUUUCCAACUUGGAGAAUUUGUUGGAGCUAAGUCUAAUCAACAACGAGAUUUGUGAUAUUCAAAAGCUUGAAGGUUUAGCAUCGUUGCAAUGCUUGAGAGUGCAAUGCAAGUCAAGUAAGUUCAGCAAGCUUGAAUGACCGAAUAAUCUAGGACUCUCGCAGCUUCUGACUUGUCCCUUUCUUCAGACAUUGCCCAACUUAUCUAACUUCAAAAAUCUCAAGAACUUUAUGGUACUGUCUAGAACUGGUUGAGAUUGAAGGUCUUGAUAGAUUGAAAUCACUAGAAAGGCUUGAUAUCCAGCUUUGCAGUUCCCUUCAAAGCUUACCCGAUCUAUCCCAUCUUAAGAAACUAAAGAUGAAUUGGCGGCGAGAAAAACUAGUAGCUCGAUCAGAUGAUCUCCCACUCUAGCACUUGAAAAAGCUUGAAGAUCAGUAAAUCUUGAAAUUUGAUGGCUGAAGGAAUUUGUCAUCAAAAUGUUAAGAGAUCAAUUUACAAUGAUUGUUCACACCUGAUUUUUAAUCGAAAUUUCAAACAAAAUCAGCCAUUUAGGUAGUUUUUAUCAAAAGUAUGAAUAAAUGGAACUAAAUGGUAACAUGAAAAAAAAAAGGUAAUAAAAAAGGGGUUAAUUCGGUUUCUGUCCAAAUUGUAAAGUCCACAAGAAAAGCCUAGUUUAAUUCGCCUUCAGCCCAAGUCAUUUCUCACAUGAUUUUUCCUAGAAGUUUGUCCUGUUGGAUUUCAAGUCGGCGGAAGACGACUUACUGGAUUCCGAUACGCAAGCAGCAAUUAACCCCGGAACGAAUAUUGAAUUGCAAAUGAAUCACGAACAAAAUUAUUCCUCACGCGGUCUGGAUGCGAUCACAAAGAAAGCACCCGAUUUUCACGACGUAAAUACAAAUUGUUCUUGCAAAAGUGAAAUGGAACGCAUUAUCCCUUUGAUGGAAAUAGAACAAACAAAUGAGAGGAUUUUCUGAUCUAUGCUCUGCUAACCCCUCCAACGGUUGUGUUCGGGAGGCUUUUAUAUGUCUCGCUUCGUACCCCUCCAUUAGUGUCUUUCCAUCGUAAUGCAUCAAGACGAAACGGUGCGUUCCGAUCACACCCUAUUAUGGACGUACCAGCUAAAGUACAACAUUCCCUAACAGAUCGGGUUCUGAUCGCAAAAAGGAGAGAGAUUUCCUUCUCUGUCGCCUUAUUUUCACCACCGUCAAGCUCCAUAGCCAGCCACUUCGAGGUCAACGACAACCGUACCAGGAAACAGAGCAUCAUACAUGCACAAGGGACGCAUAACAAUCCUCUCUCGAGGAGAGAUUCGUGGAUUCGAAUCACAUUUUUUGACGUCUCUUAGCUUAUUCCAGUGGCUGUCGUUAACGCCGCUGGCCAUUUCUCUGUCGCACUGAGUUUAUCCUGUUCUACUCUGUCUUCAGAUCCAAGAGUCCGAAAAGAAUCUAAUUUGUGUUCGAUUCUCCACUACCAGCUCCGAUCUUCGCUGACAAAACUUCCCAAAGUUCCUCUAUGGAUUUGGUCCCCCGUCGUUGCUUAGAUUCGCUUCACUAAUAAGGUGAAGCGCACGCUUUGAGACCUUGAAUUCGUGAAUUUUAUUAUACAAGAACUGAAGUUGUUCGAGGCUACUGUAAUAACGCAGUCUUGCAGGGCACAUCAGGUGACUAUCAAGGCCCCUUGUUCCUGAGAUUCCCUCAGGAAAAAAACAUGUGAUAUGUAACCAUUCAAAUGCAAAUUUUAAGAGAAGAUGACAAACACGCUGGCCACUUCUCUAAGUACUAUGAUCCAUGACAUCUAGUACGCUGUCGUAAGGUUUUGAUGGGCAUGCAAGGUUGGAGAUGCAUUGUUUUUGUCGAAACACCACUUUCUCAUUUUCAGUUAUACUGUCUCUUCAGUAAUUUAGAAGUUGCCCGGUAAAGUUCUAUAUAUAGAGCAUAUUUUAACAGCCUCUCCACCAUAAUUGGCUAUUAGGAUACCGGCCUAAACUAAGUUGGUGUCACUAACUAUUUCAUCAACUAAAUAUGGGUACUAACUCUCCAUUUGAAUAGUGAUCGACAUUUAUUUAGUUCUGUUUUUAAUAUACUGAUUUUUCUAUUCCAUUACUUAAUCGAGAAAAAAGUUUGUAAGUCGCUUGAAAAAGGUUGGUAAAUUAAUAUAAUAGCAUGUAAAUUUAAUGCUUGGGUAAUAAAAGCAAAUAAUAUUGGCAAAAGAUAAAAGAGAUUUUUUUCAGAGAUAAGAAAAGUUGGUAAUUUAAACAAAAUAGAUAGAAAAGUUGGUAAUUUAAGCAAAUUAGAUAGAUGAUCGUAAUUAACAAAAAUAAAAGUGGUAACACAAAAACUAACUAGCUAAGAUAUUAACCGUUGAACAGGGUUGGUAAAUGUAAUUAAGACAAAUAAAAGUGGUAAUUCAACAAAAAAAAUCAAUAAACUAAAAAAACAUAGGGAAAAUAUCAAAAGCAUACCUUACAUUUCACUCGACUAUUACAUUCAUACCUCUAUUUCAAAAUUAACCGAUAUGGUACCUCUAAAUAAAACCUCAUUAUGAAAAGACCAAAUUGCUCCAUUUGCAAUUCCAAAAUCUUUUUGAGUUCAUCUCUAAAAAUUUUCUCUCUUUUUUUUUUUUUUUUUUGGUAAGUGAAUAAUUUUAUUGCUCAAACCAGAGCAACUUCCAAUCAGGCCCAAGACUGAUCCCAACUCAAAGACAACCCCAGGCCAAUAGGCCGAACCCUCACCUAAUCAACUAACCCGAAGAAAAAUAACGCACGGAGCCAAUAGGCUUAGACCCAAUUCCACAAGACAACCCUUGUAAAGCCCACGAAAUUCAAAAUAGGAACGAGACUUGCAAUCUAGUAAAUUCAACACGCGGCAGAACCAAAGUACGUCAUGCAGUCACCCAUCGAUUGGCAUCUGAUUCUCCAGUUGCCACAAAGAUCUCUGACUUGAUCGUCAACCACCUUCUUCCGCAAUAACCCUGCUUUCUUGAAGGUCAAAUUGUUCAUGGAGGAUCGAAAUCAUUUUCUUCCAUAUAUUAUAAACAGAUGUAUUCCAAGCCAGUUUUGUCCGGACAGUCUUCGUCCAUAGUAUUGUUAGUUUGUAAACAAGGCAAUCCGUCGCGGUUUUAUCUACCUUCUUGCACCGCGGUGCCUCACCCACAUGAUUUUAUGUUAUACAAGGUGAAAGAAAAAUCAUUUCAUGCAUUUAUUUAUUCAUUUUGGUAGUGACAAGCUAGGAACAAGUUUUAAAGAAUCGGUGAUACUAGCUUACAGGCUUGACAGAGAUAGAUGAGGGGCUUACGGAAAUCCAAGGCACACCAAAGAAAGAAACCAUCAUCUGCUGAGGUCCUUGACAAGACAUGGAUGAAAACUUUACAAGAUUUACAGAAUUUGAAGUCAUUGCUUGAAGACAUCUCAUGAGAAAGUGUCGUCCAAAUUAAGGUAAAAGUCCACCUUUGAACUUUGAACUUAUGCGCUUAUUUAAAGUUCCCCGGCUUUUAAUGUGUCUAAUCAAGUACUUAACCUUGCAUAAUUAUUCUAAUCAAGUCCCUCUAUCUCCAACAUAUCAUUCAAACCCAGCAAAAGUAUGUGUAAAAGAACUCUUUCUACCAUGUUUUUACCUCAAAGGACAUGCGGCUAAUGCAUAAGACUAAAAAGAAAUAAAUGUUAAAACCGCAAUUUGACCUUGAGUAGUGAGAUUUCUCAACACGAACGCUACACUCAAUCCUGUCACAUCAGAAGCUCUCACUAGUCACUAGCCCAACAGACAAGUUAGCUCCAAUUAUCUGGAUUCAGAUCACGAGGACUUUAUUCGAAAAGUUAUAAAAAAAAAAAUUAAGGACUUGAAUAGACAAAUUAAAAUUUCAAUGAUUCGCACAACAAAGUGCAAGUUCAAAGACCAAAAGUAAAGUUUCACUAAAAAGUUGACAGUGUACAACUGGGAAAAAAAAACAAAGAGAGAAUUGGUACAUUGCAUUGAUGGUGUAGUCACACACACUCACAUAUAUAUAGAUUGCAUAUCUAACUCUUCGUUGCCGUAUAUGUUCUUUACCCCCGGUUAUUCUUGAACCCACAACGGACUUUAUCUGCAAAUUACUAUUUAAGUACCAACUUUGAUUUGCCUUGUUUACGAGAAAAUAUUCAGUGGUUGCUAAUCACCACGUCAUUGUCCUAGGUGGCGCGCGCAAGUCUAGAUGGCUCCACUAACAGGUCGACACGUGUCUUAAGACUUAGACCGGCUGAAAAAUAAAGAAAUCAAAAAGUCAGAGGAUUUAUUUUUCUCUCUCCUCUGCUACGGCAGAAAAGAGACUCGGCAGAAGCAUUAAUUAAUACUGUUGCCGCUCAAAAACCUCUCUCUUCUUUUCAAUUUUCGAGCGCUUUUUGCCUCCUCCUUUCUCGAGUCGAGAACAGGAAACGCAGAUACCUUCUCUCUCCUUCUCCGGCACGCCCGACUGCCUCCACCUCCACCUCCGCCUCGCCAUGCCCCUUCCCCUUCCCCAAAGCCCCCGUCGGUCGCAGGUGCUGGUCAGAUCUGUCUCUGGCACGUCGCCUCCUUGAAGACCCCCGCUGGGUCGCAGCUGCUGGAUCCCGAGCGCCCUUUGCCUCCGCCGUCACCUCCGGAGUCUCAUCGGCGGCUACAAUUCGUCAGCUCACUCCUCUCUCCCAUCCGCGCUCGCGCUGAUCUCUUGGAAACCUGGUGGCGUCUAGCCCGCCGCUCUUAUGUGCCCCCUCUCUGCAGCAUCUUGCCAUUUCCAGCCGUCAGAACAUCAACAAGAGCGUCUUGGGGCUGCCCGCGUGUGACCCAGCGACAGAAAUGAUGAGGAAGGAGAAAACGCGCAACAAGCUCGCUAUCUCUGGUCUUGCUCGUGUGUACGGCUGUUAUCUGGUUCUUUUCCAAUCCAGGUUCAAGAAAACUAGGAAACUUCACACACUCAUUGAAGCUGAGCAACAGAGCAAGCCAUUACACGAGGCUCUGACCUUGACUCUAUCAUUGAAGAAAUCCAUGGAAAAUUCAGAAACACCCCUCGACUUAUCGACGCAGAUGAAGAUGGGCACUUCUUCGAUGCACAUGUAAAUCGUGCUACACGUCCAUGGCCUCCACUUCCUCCAUCUCUCUCGCCUAUCGGAUUCAUUUUUCUUCGGCAUUGCAGUUAACGCUGCGGACCGGAGCUCGAAUUCUUUAGCGUGCUGUGCUCCGGCUACUGCGCGCGAGGCGCUUUGCGUGCACGACAGGGCCUCCGUCGCAGAAUAAACAGAGGUUUUUCAGGUAUGGAGGCUUGGUGAUAAUGGUUGCUUUGGCUUCUAAUUCCAGCCAGAGUCGGAGAGCAUAUCAGGAGGCCGAGGGGAAGAGUUCUUUGCUGGCCGUUGUGGCUCCUAUGAAGCAGGUCGCGUCCUUUGCCGUUCCCGCCGGAGUAUUUGUGGCCGUGACUUUUGGUAUGAAAGUUUUAACGUUAUUGUUGAUUUGCUGUGAGGAAGAGAGUAGGGGUGAUUAUUGACUAUGAUGAGAAGCUUUUCCUAAUUGGAACCGAUUAGAACGUGGUUGUUUAUGGUUUGGCAUUGCACCUUCUAUUGUCAAGAGGUUGUUUAAGGAUUAUUUUUUCUGGCAGAGAGUUUGGGUUACAAUAGUGUAAUUUGAGCAAGCCACCAGUAUAUCUUUCAGAUGUUCUGAUGAGAUUUAUCGACUUUGGUGUGUUAAUGUUAAACCAUGCCUGAUGGAUCAAUUUUAGUGUUUUCAUUACUCGAUUAUCGCUUAUUUUUUCAAAUAACAACACAAUUGUUCACAUUGGCGCUCUAGUACAUGUGUUUCUUUGCCUCUUAUGAUUUGAAAUUUCUUGUUUUCGAAGCAGCUCUUUAGUGACAUGUUCUUGUUGAUAGAGUCUGUGCGAUGUAUUGGUGAAUAAUACUGCUAUCCAGAAGCUCCUACUGAAAAGUACUGAAAAGUCUUGACUGCAACAUGUUUACCAAGCACUGAAGUUUGGAUGAAGUUUAAGCCUUCCAAAUAGUGACAGGUUUGAUAUGCUCCUAGUGGCGUGCUUUUGUUUUGCUUCAUUGAAGAUUUUGAUGGAUGAUGUAUUUUCAGCAACAACUAUGGUGGUGCACGAGGGGCCAAUGCUUUGGCUAAAGGGUUGGAGGGAAACAAGUCAUUGAGGGUAAACAACUCAUUUUUUUCCAAUUUUCUUUCUUAAGGAUAUAUAGCUCGAAUUUUGGUUGGGAAUUCUGUCAUUAGAAUGUAGUGCAUGCUCCUGUCAACAAGUUCUAUAGUUAUAUAUAUUGUGCUAACCAUGUGGGCUCCAUAGAACAGAUAAAGAUGGACAACAUUUCAACUCUGAAGGAGUAAAAUUUUUUCGUCUCUGGACAACAACCAGCAGAGUUGUUGAAGAAAAACUCAACCUCGCAGGUUCAAGAGUGAUUUCAGAGAAGGUAAUGAGUUUUGCUCUUACUUAUUUGAUUGUCUUUGGAGUUAAUGUUAUUUUUUGCGCUUGGUGAUGGAAUUCUUUUGGUGUAUUUGCUGAUUUAUGGAGCUGAUGGUAAUGCAGGUAUUGAAGCUGCGCCAAGGAAGCACGCAGCACCAGCUGCGUGCCCAUUUAAUAUGUGGGCACAAGAAACUUUUGGGGCAUAAUCAUGUUAUUUUGAAGGAUUUAGUUAUUGAUAUGUGGAUGCAGGAAACUUUCGGCAUAUACGGUUGCUUAUUCAAUGCUGUUCUAUGGGAGAGCAGACCAUUAUCUUUCUAAGUGACAUUAAAAACUUAAUCCCCAACUUUGUUAGGUGGGAGAGCUGGUCUAUAGGUGGUUGGUUUGUCCUCAUGUUAUGCUUGCAUCUUUUACUUCUGAAUGUGUAUAGUCCAUAUUAUGUUACAAUAAAGUAUGGAAACUCACACCAAGUUGUUGAACCAUUGUGUGCGAGAAACCUGGUAUUAUUGCAUUUUGAUCCUCUCUUAAUUUUGUCCCUAGGCAGUUUCAAUGGUGAUGUUCUCGACAUUUGAGCAUUCAGUGGAUUUCCUUUAUGGUGUUAUUAGAAGAAGAAAGGAGGAUUGCUCAAAAUUUUAACAACUCGGGGUAACAUGCUUAGCUGGAUAUGCUGCUGGAUCUGUUGGUAGCUUCAUAUCAAAUCCUGCCAACAAUAUUGUUGCUUCCAUCAACAACAAAAAAGCUGACAGUCUCAUGCCGGUAUAUGUUUGCAAGCAAUUAUUUACCCUGCUGUCUCAGAAAAGUUCAUCUGAUCUGUAAGUUCCAAUUUCGCUACAGGCAAUCAGGAAUAUCGGGGUUGCGAAUCUGUUUACGAGGAGCCUUCCCAUUAGAAUUAUACUCAUUGGACCUGUUGUAACUCUGCAGUGGUUCUAUGAUACCAUCAAGAUUCUUAGUGGAUUGUAAGUGCAAACUUGCCUUUCUAAUUUUACUGUUUCUUUUGUCAUUAACUUGUUUUAUUCACUUGUUUUCUCUUUAUGGGUGAGUUUUUUCUUGGAUCAUUGCCUAAUGGACGCACAAACAGGAUUCUUCUACCUCUAAUUUUAUUUACAAGGUUUGGAGUACUGGUCAUACAAAUCCUUGUCUUGCAAUUCAUUGAAGAGACAUAUGUUGUACAUCCAUCUGUUUGGAUCUUCGGGAUACUGAAAUGGCUAACUUUUCCAAGAUUGUCCAAGGCAUGGAUUACUUGAGUAUGUGGAAAGAAAACGAUGAAGUGAAAAGUUUCUCGUCCUAAGCCUUCUUUGUAUCCUGUAGCAGCAUUUGGAUGCUUGUCUGUUUACUCGUUUGUGGAUAUCAUUUAAUGUAUUCUUAAAUAUCCGAAGAACGUAGUUAGAGAAAGUAAGUGCAAACUUUCUUUCAUUUGUGUGCUAAACAUAAAAUGACCGUUUCAUCUACCUGGAUUACUAAAUCGCAUAAAAUGAUAGUUCUGUUCCAAUCCGUCACCAAUUAUGGAAUAGUUCUUUCUCAUUUAAUUCUCGUAGACUUUAGCACUUGACUUUUCUUUGCGCAAUGACAAGUUGAUGGUGUCUUGCAGGCCAACUAGUGGUGAAGUCUCAACUAAUGCCCCGAGAGAGAAUAUAAAAGCUUGAGCUAUGCCCAAACGAUCACACUGUUUUUCAAAGAGUGAGGUGGUGUCCACACCAAAUAAGGAAAUUACAGCCUUUCCAGGCAUUCAAUAUGCUGGAAUGUUACAAUCAUUGCAACUACUGAACAAUUCCAAAAGACCAUGAGAUAUGGUGGCAGCCUUUUAUGCCAUCACAUAUUGUGGCUUAUAGCUCUAGUUCUAGAUUUUUGCUUGACCAUUGUUCUUGCUUUUAGCUCAUGGAAGUUUCUCUGCAUCAUGUAUGACAAGUUCUUGUUCUUGCGAAAAUAUAUGGCUACUUGAUAACUUUCAUGCGUCACACUACAUAUCUAGAUUUUCAUGUACUCGUAGAAUGUACUUGCUCUCUGUAGAGACAUGGAGCUUGGAGAAGUCUCUAAAUUUUACCUGGAUAAUAUUAUGCAAGUACCAAAUAUAUUUUACUUCUAACCCAAUGACCACUUACACCCCUUUAUUUUUACACAUACCCUUCAUGCACCUCUUAAUAAAAACGCCGUUUGGGAAAUAUCAAGUUGUCCUUGGGGAUGCAAUUUACAAUCUUAUUUAAGGUUUGAGCGAUUCGGUUGAUUUUGAAUGUAAAAAGUGAGAACUUAGAAUCUAAAGAGCGAUACUUUUGAAAAGAACGUGAUGUCUUCAUAAAACGUGAUGUCUUCAUAAAUAGGAACACAAGGAUGCUUGGUGUUUCAAGUAUAUAUUUGGCACUUUCAAAAGCAGAGAUACAUUGGUAGUCAAGCAGCCAAAAAUGAGUCAAUUUUGAAAAUUUCCAAAUAAAUUCUGUAGUGCUCCAGCUUUGUAUUUCUGAGUCAUACUCGGGGACUACAAUGUAAAUGCUCGUUGCCAAUCAAUCAAUGUAUACCCAUUAAUUUCCUGCCAAUCAAUCAAUGUAUACCCAUUAAUUUCCUUGGAGGAGACUCUCCACAGUGCACCCAAAUUGCUAUAAGAUCUGCGAAUUUCAAUCUUUGGCAACUGAGCCGUAAAGUGUAAAUAUUUUUUUCAGGAGCUAUCAUACCAAUUAUUCUCCAAUAGAACUUUUGCAAACAUGAAUGACACCAAACUUCAUACUCAAAAACGACUUUCAUAUUUGAGGCAAUCUUACAGCAAACGGCCAUGAUUGCAAUUAGACAGCAGAAAUCUGGGUUAAAAACAGAAAAAAAAAAAAAAAAAAAACAACAAGGUAGCUUAUGCAAGACCACAUCAUAGCUAACUGAAUCUUGGUAGACAUAACCACAUACAUCACUCUAGCCAGAUUUCUGCUCAUUCAACCAUCAGGAAAUACAGACAAGGUUAUCCAUCAUCCUAUUGUUGAAUACAUGGAAAAGGAGAUCGCAUGCCUGCCAGGAUGAUGGCCUCACUUGUGGGGCAGUUGCAGUGCAAUUUCGAGCACUUGAAAAGCUGCAUUCUCUUCCCUAGCCAAGAGCAAGCUCAACGCAGGGUCUAUCAACUCUUCCCAAGCCAAACCUUGCAUCUCAAUAUGUGUCUCCACCAAUUUGACCAUGUCAAUAUCCAAACUAAAGGAUGCAUUUGUCGGCAUUUUCCCGCUGACAAGCUCCAUCCUGUAAACAUCACCUUUCUUAGCUGCCUUCAAGGAAUAUACAUACUUUGAGAGAAAGCAAAGCAACAAGUAAGAAGAACCUGUACUAUUUUUCCAUAUAUUAGGAAUAAUAAACAUUUAGAUUGGAACAAAACAGCAAAGACCUAGGAAGUAGCAAUAUGAAAAUACCUAGAGUAAUAUAGCCGUACGACCCCGUGAACCACGAAUUGGACUCGGUGUCUAGUGAUUCAUGAUUCUGGUUUCACGGAGAGAUUAGUUCACAUCAGUAGAUCCAAAAAAAUGGCACCAACUUCCUAAAGUGAACGAGAGUAAAGUAAGGAUUCUUAUCUUGUGUAGGAAAGAAUCCGGUUGUGAUCGCACAUCCAAAUUGGGCAAAGAAAAACCUUAAUCUGCCUAGUGAAGAAAUGCAACAAAUAGUUGUUACAAAUAUGCUCUCUAAUGGGCAAAGUUGAGCACGAAUCAAGUAUAAACUAUGGGAAGCUUAGCUUAAAAACUUUAUGAAAAUUUAAAUGCUUAAUAAGAGAAGAAAAGAAGCUUAGCUUAAAAACUUUAUGAAAUAAUAACUCAUAUAUGCAAGCCACAUAUCCAGAUUACAAAUUCAUUUAUGUUCCCUAAAGCACCACUACCAUUAACAGUUCAACAACAGUAACUAUAUAGAAGAAGAAAUUUCAUGAAAAUGAGAAGGUCCAGAAAACAAACCUGUGGCUUUGCUAGAAGAAGCACAUCACGAUGAAUACCAGAUAACCACCAAUGAUCUUGAUCCUCAAGAUAAGAUCCAUCACUCCAUCUAAAUACUUGAACCGCUAAAACAUUCUUUUCUUCAGCAGUAGAAGGCUUACAGUAGUCAGUGAUUUCAAAUUCAGCUGGCAGCCUACUAUCCUGACUGCAAAACCAGGCAUGUGUCAAUUGUAAACUGAUUAAAACAACCGAUCACUGUUUCCAUCAGUAUUUUUCCUGUUCAAGAACCCAGCAGGGAUGUUAUCCAUAAUAACAGUUAACUGAAACUUGCUUUCUCAACAAGUUCACGGCAUCAGGAUUCUUCUUAUAACUAAUUUCUAUCUCUCAUCCUUUCUUAGCAAGUGUGGCACAACAGGAAUGUCCCUUUCACAUACCUCAUUUAAUUUGAGAGAAAAAAAGGUACAAUCUAGUAAACAGUAAGAGGAUAAAUAUUAGUCCCAAAUUUCUUUCAAACAAAAAACAAUGGCAAUGACUCAGAGCAAAACAAGCUCUGGCCAGCCAAAAUCCAGAAUAAAAUAUCAUCAAUGACAUCAAACAAUGAGGUAAGUGCAUUAUUCGACCUCCUAUUUAUUCUCUCAAAGACAAGGCCAUAGAAAUUUUUCUACUUGGGCCAUAAUAACAAUUAAGUAAAUGAAGACAUUCUCCAUGAAAAUAUUUUCCAGACUAUCUGAUAUCUAUUGAUAAUACAGUUAAAUGUCAAUGCAACAGGAAAUGCCAAACUGAUGUACCACCAAAGUGCAAGCAAAGCAAGAAUGAAAGAAUUAAGUGAAUAAGGAGGCAUUGCAUGAUACUAUCAUCCAUUGUUCUAGAGCAUGACAUAGAAGUUUGUAAGUGUCAAAACCAUUUUCUACCAACCUAAGGCCUGAUUAGAUUAACAGGAAACUUUCUGGAAUUUCUGAUUUAAUUAUCUAAGAACGAAACAGACCCUAAUACACAACCAGCAACAUUUUGAAGAGUAUUCUUAAAAAGGAUUCUCAUUUUUACUUAUUAAACAUGUUGUCAAGGGGAAAAAAGAGAUGAAAACACUUACUUUUUCUGUUUUAUUUUCUAUGAAGAGGAAAAUCAAAAUAUCUUUUCUGAAACCAAAUGGGCCUUAAGCGUCAGCAUGGAUUAAAAAACCCAACUUGGUAUCAAAGGGACAGGUCCAAUGUUUCAAGUCCCUACAUCCCCCUAUGCCUCACAUUGAAUGUUAAUUCACACUUCAGGCUCAGUCAGGAGCAAACCCACCUGAGGCAGAAAGUGUUUAAGUUAUAUUUAUCUCUGCUGUAAUGUUUAAAUUGAAACUAUGCCUUCAUUAGAUGAAUAGGCAAUAAUUCCCAGAGUUCAAUGCAAAGAAGAAUACUCACCAAAUGUCGCAAUUUUUUUUUCUGAUAGAAUAUACUUAUGGUCAAAGGAUCAAAUAACUAUAACGAAGAGUGGAGAAAAAAUUACCUAUACCCCACAAAGACUCCAUUAAUCCAUGCACAGAAGGCAGAAUCCACUGCUUCAAAGUGCAGCAAAAUCCUACGCCCUAUUCAAUGUAAAAUUGAAGCAAAGCUAAAGCCACAAUAAAGAGUUAAGAAUAAUGUUGGCGAUUCUAACACUCAUACACUCAAUGUGUUUACAAUAUGGCAAAUUGGCUUACUAACUUAAAUAAUCACUUACUAUAUGCCACAUCCUUUAAUCAACACAUUUAGUACAUGGCAUAGGAACUCCAAUACACAGGCCAAUAUCACACUAUGCUUUAUCCUAUAUUGACAAGUUGUGACCUAAAAUCAAGACAGAGGAAAUUCCUUCAAUCAGCUGAGCAUCAAUUAACUUCUGCUCUUUGUUGAUGUCAUAAAACACCAUCAAUUAACGACUGCUGUCUUCAUCUACAAAAAAAAGGCUGCUGUCUUCAUCUGCCAAACAAAAAAGACUACUGUCUUCAUCUGCAAAAGAGGAAAAAAAGGACAAAUUUCAAACCAUAAGGAUUAGUCAAAAAAACAAAAAGAAAAAAAUUGAUGUACUUCUUACAACAUGCCAUGUACAACUUAAAUACAACCACAUUAGAGGUACAAAAAGGAAAGAAAAGGCUUUUCUCAUCUCACGCACCUAUUUUGAGGUGCCUCCUGUGUAUGAGGAUUCCUUUCUCUUCCGCUUCUCAUUAGUACUCUUCAACCGAGUAUUUGGUAUACCUUUUGGCCUUCUCCGAAGAGGAUCAUGUAUUUGAAUUCCACAAUUUGCUGCAUAUUCAGAUUCAUCAUUUUCCAGCAAGGAAUUAACAUCAUCUUUACCUGUGAGAUAUUGCAUUUUGUUCACUAUACGAGAGUGAAGAUCCAUCAAGGUUGUAGUUGCAAUAUUCUCCGUAACAUCAUGAUUUGCACUAAUGUUCAUAACACUAAAAGCCAAUUGCAUUAACCUCUUCAAGCGCAAUGUCUUUGACUGUCCCGCAUCACGAGAGCUUUCUCCAACAUCAUUGCAAUGACUACUUUGUUUUGCAGUUUUUGUCCACCUCUUCAAAAUGUAUCUUGAUGGAAUGCUUGUAACAUUUACAACAUGUGUCAAGAUACAUAGAGUAUGCCUACACAACCAUCCUCGCAUUUCAAAUAAUUUGCAGCUACAUGUAAUGGUUGAAUCACCCGAACAAAAAUGGACAAUAUGCUUUCUUUCACUAUUUUCAGCUCCCAAUAUGUAAGUGUGUAACGGCCCAUCAAUUUCUGAUCUAAAAAUGCAAGCACUCAUCCUGAAAUUUUCUAAAAAUGACAUGCGUGUAGACAUGUGCAGCAUGUUUCAAUAUUCCACUACUUUCAACCAUAAUCCGUGGCAUUCCUCGAGCACACUCAAAAUCAUCAAUAACUUCAGAGUUGCGCAUUUUUUCAGCUUGCUUCUCAUAAUGAUUGACAAAUUCAGACAAAGUCAUAGUCUUACAUGCCAUAUCUUGAAAGACAUUAUUGGUGCUUUCACUUCUUUGAGUGGAUCUAAUUCCCGCAGAAAAAGUAUCUCGGCCGAAUGCAGGACACCAUUUAUGACGUAGGCGAUAUAUAUUAUCCAACCACUUGUUGUCCUCAAGCUUCCACUCAUGACACAUAGCUUUCCAAGUGUUUUCCAUUUCAAAUUCUGACUCGCACUUAUAUAAAAUCUUGUGCCAAUAUUUAUCACGAAAGCCCGGUUUUCCAAGAAGAUGUCCAAUAUGAUGCGUAGCAUUUUUCCCAAUAUGCCAUACACAUAAACGAUGACUAGUGUUGGGAAGAACAGUUCUAAUGGCAUUUGCCAUCGCAUGAUCUUGAUCAGUGAAAAUAGUCUUGGGUGCUUUAUUACCCAUUGCCUCUAAAAAGGAUUGCAAAGCCCACACAAAAGAAGCAAUAGUCUCAUCCAAUAAAAAUGCACAAUCAAAUAGAACAUUUUUCCAAUGAUGAUUCAACCCAACAAAAGGUGCGCAUAUCAUAUUGUAUUUAUUUGUACGAUAAGUAGCAUCAAAUACCACAACAUCUCCAAAACUUUCAUAAUCCAGCUUGGAUAUACCAUCGGACCAAAAAAAAUUAGUCAAUCUUUGCUCCUGAUCCAACUGAAAUGUAUAAGAAAAAUUGCUUCCAUUCAAUUGUAAGCAAUUAAAAUGGUUAAUGAGACUUUGACAAUCCCCCGCAGUAAUAAAGGCUCUUCUCUUUGAUUGCAAAAAAUUAUGACAAUCCCGUAGUGUAAAGCCAACAAUCUCUUGCCCUCCAGCUUCACCACUAAGAUACGAAUAUGCUUUUGUAGCCCUCACACCAGCCCCAACCAAAGAAGUCAAAAUACUUCCAUUAGUAUUCGUUAUAUGCCGAUAUGACCGUAUUAAGUGCUUUUGUUUAUCAUCAACAAAAGGAUGAUUAUGAACAUCCUCAAAUUUGACAACUACCCAAACUCCCUCUUCAAUUUUGAAUUUAAUGCAAGCUUUACAUCCACUUCUUUUCACAGUCCUAUAUAUAUCUCUUUGUUCAUGAGGUAAGAUUGGUGGAGAAUAUCCUUCACAAUUACAUAGAAAUGUGCAAGCUCGCAAUAUUCCUUUACUAUUGUUUGCCUUUUGUCCUUUUCGCACUCCAAAUCCUUUGCAAAUUGCAUAUGCAUUGUAUGUAUUAUAAGCUUCGUCCUCAUUAGCAAAUUUCAUGCCAAUUUUAAAUUCAAAAUCUUUAUCAACAUUAUUGAUGAUGACAUUAUCCUCUGCAACUUCUACAAGUUCUAAAAAAAAAAAAAAAAACUCAUCAUUUAAAGUAGAAAGAUAAAUUCAAAACAAAUUUAAAGUCUAAAGAGAUAAGUCAUACCCAUUUAUCUCGAGAGCAAGUCAAAUUAGCUACCAAGGUCUACAAAUUAUCUAUUGAAUAUUAGUAAAAAUAAAAGUUAGUCCAAAAGUGUUUGUGUGCAUACUUUAUCUCAGUUAUGAUGGAUUAUAAGUGGGUUUCAUAAAAGCAAUAGACGUAAAAUAGUAUUCUCACCACACUUUGUAACACCCGCUUCUAACCCAGUCUCACGGCAACAACCUUAAGGCCACUUCCUUGUAAUUCUGAAAAUAAGAUCCCUUGUAAUCCUAUAAACAAUAGACAUUCUUUUAAGCCAAACUGAAAUUUUAAGUAAAUAAGAAGCGCACCUAGCUAUGUGAGAGCACCUCUCUCUUUCUGAAACUGAAGUAGUAAAAGAAAAAAAAAAGUUGAGGUACAACACAAGUUAAAGCAUUUACAAUAUGUACAAAGAGGUGAACACUGUGCACAAUAGAGGCUGCCCCCUGACCCUCGCAUAAUGGGGAGCCUUGUGCACUAGGGUUGCCCUUUCAUUGUUGUUUUUGUGUUAUCUUAUAGAUUUUACAUACUUCCUCCAUUCCCUUUCAUUACUGCCUCUACCGUUUUAUAGCUAUCUUUUUUCUUAUUGUGGAGUGGUCACUGCAGGUCCAGUGAAACGCAAGAAGCAACCAUACUUGGAAAGUUCUAUUAAAACUACACGACCAAAAACUUCUAAAUCACAGUUAAGUAAUCAUAAUACAUUUCUAAGUAAAUCAUUGUGUACUAAAAUUGUCACUUUAAAUUGUUCUGCAUGCUGAUCUCCUUCAAUAUUUCACAAUCUUCAGCAACAAUCACUUCAAACAAAUAAUCAAGCUUCCAUUUCCAAUAAUCAUUUAUACUCUCAAUUGUCAUUAAUAAAAGUAGCAGCAUAGAAGUGCUUACAGAAAUCACCUUUGGCCUGGUCUUGAACAAUAUCUUAUGCCUGAUAAUGCCAACAACUUCUAGCUCAACCUUCGAUGAAUCGGCUAACUCAAUAUUAGAGCUUUGCUCUGCAUCCACAAGUUUUACUUUCUUCAAUACUAGAAAUGGUUUCAUCAGCAGCACUUUUGAGCCCAUUAAUUCAUGAUAGCCAAUAGUAAAGUGUAGACUUCCUGAAGAGAAAACCCAAUAAAGCAAACUUAAAUUUUGGUAUGUGAAGACAAAAGAAUUAUGACAGGACUGAACUCUUGAAAACAAAAUGAAAAGCCAUAGAUAGUUUUCUUGUUAGCAAUAACAUCAUAUAGUCAAAAUUAGAUUAAAUUUAAUCAACAAAAGUAAUCCAAGCAACAGUUUUGGAAUAACAAAUAAAUGUAAUAGAUAAGCAACAAGCUUUCUAACAAAACUAGCAACAACCUUUUUAGUUUAUUUAACAGAUCCACUUCGUUGCAAAAUAUUGAAAGAAAAAACCUUAUUAGCAGGUCACACAACCAACAAACCUACUAGCUACAAAAAAAAAAAAACUCUUAUUGUCGAUCAUAUCUAUGUUAUCAUCUUAUUAAGGCAAGGGAGUUUAAUCGAAACUCUGAUCUAACCAAAGGCGUUGGACUUCAUUUUUGGCCAAUCAAUGUUGGCCGAUCUCCAUCUCCACUGAACAACACCUACUCACUCGUUGGACUAUCACCAAAGAAAACUUCGUUGACCGCCGCAGGAAAAAGCCAAAACAGAGUAAACCCAUAAUUGAAGAAAGUAAACCUAGUUCAGGCAUUUCGUCGAAUGGAUGGUGGGCGACUCAACUAGAUUGUUUAGGCUCAAAAUUUAGACAAUAAAUCACGCUAACUACACAUAAAUAUCACAAACAGCAAAUAUUUGGGACACAAUACUUCACGGGUUUCAUCCUUAAGUGAACAGGAGUAGCAUGGCGAUUCUUACAUUUUGUGGGAGAGAAUCCGGUAGCGAUGGCAAGGGGAUACGCUGUCUAGUGAAGACACGCGAGCGACCUGUGAAGGCGGAGAGGCUCGAGACCCAGCAAUUGCAAGCUUCUCUGCUUGGCCUCAAAAUCGCUGGCGUCGUGCCCGAGCCCGAAAUCAAGAAUGACCCACUGCCGGUUUCUAUUGCCCGACCUAGAAAAGCAACGACCCCGAUAAACGAAGCAAGCGGCGUGUGAACGCGAAGAGGGCUCGGGACCCAGCACUUGAAAACUUCUUCCGCUUUGGUGCCAACGCGGCCGAGCCCGAAAAUGAAACCGACCCACUCGUAGAUUAUAUCGCCGGAACCAGAAAGGCGACGAUGGCGACAAACGAAGCGAGCGGCGUGUGAAGUCCGAGAGGGCUCACGACCCAGUAGCUGCAAAUUUCUUCCGCUUUGGUGACGACGCGCCUGACCGAAAAUCGAAACCGAGCCACUCCUGGUUUCUAUCGUCAAAGCCCGAAAGGCGACGAUGGCAACGAACGAAGUCGAAGCGGAAGAAGGAGCGCAAAAGCAAGAGGACGAGGGCGUGAGGGCUUGAGGUGAGUGAGGUGAGUGAGGACCGGGAAGGAAGACGAAGAGCGCCAUGUUCGAACGUGAAACGACCUGUGCAACAAGUCUCGAGAGAAGAGAGAGAGAGAAGAGCAGAGACAAAGAGAGAGGAGCCAUUAAUGGCCGCUCAGCCUACCGCCGCCUGCAACUAGCCCUAGGGGAGAUAAAGUAAUUUUUUUAUUCGAAUUUCAGAUAAUACGUGUCGUUUUAUGAGUGGAACGUAUAUGCCAUGUAGGCAGGUGACGUGGCAGUUGCUAACCACUGAAUAUUUUCUCCUUGUUUACAAAUUCGUUAAAUUUACCAACUAUUAUUAGAAAUUACCAACCUUAACUAAUUAAUAUUGGAAUAAUUACCAACUUUUAUCCAAUUAAUUUAUCAUUAUGUUUUGCAUUACCAACUCUUCUUUUAAUUAGUUACCAAUACUUAGUUUGCUUUUUUUAAGUUACCAACUUCUCUAAUCACUGAAAAAUGAUUCUUUUUUUAACAAUUCACAAACUUUUUUUGUUAGUCUUUCUUAACAAUGCCUUAAAUUUAACAAUUAUUUCAUGAAAUUGCUAAUGAUUAUUUGAGUAACUUGUAACUUUUCUCCAAUUAAGUUAUCAUUUAGUUGGUGAUUAACCACUCUCGUUAGAGUUACUUAUUACCAACGUUUAUUUAGUUUCUCUAACUUAACAACUUUUUUUUAUUGAGUUAUUACUUUUAUGUGUCUUACUUGCCAUCCUUUUAAAUUUACAGGUUUUUUUAAUUAUAAAUUGCUGACCUUAAUUGAAAUGAUUGUCGACCUUCUUUGAUCUUACCAACUAAUAUUUUUAGCUUUUUCCAAUGAGUUAGUAACCAAUGUUAAUUUUUUUUUCUUUGCCAACUCUUUUUAUUUUAUUUUAUUUCAGACCAAAAAUUUCUCUUAUCGUUUACCACCUUUUUAGUUACUUUUCUCAUCACGACUAAGAUUUACCAACUAUUAAAUGGAAUUAUCAACUUCUAUUUGUAUGACUUACAACUUUUCUUUGACUAAAUCACCAAUAAUUUUGAAUUACAAACUCUCAUAUGAGUUGCUGCCAACAUUAAUUGUUUUUUUCUCUUAAACUAACCAACUAUUCUAUAGUUACCACUUUCAUCUGCAGUACUUGUCAGCUUUUUUUUUUUAUCAAUUCAUUUGCCGGUGUGGGGGGUAUGUUAGUAGGUGCAAGUAAUUUGUUCAAACAUGAAUUUGUCAAGUUUAUUAAUAAUACGGAGUUGCUAUUUGCUAGGAAAUAUACGCAUGCACAUGUGUACACACACUUAAGCAUGACUAAACCAAACACACUAGUAUCAAUCGCAUAACAGAAACAAAUGCUCUCUAUUUUCCUCCACUCCCACGGCGUGCCCCCUUUCGAAUGCCCCUUCUGGCCAGAUUACUGAAAGUUGCCAAUGCAUCUGAACACAUCCUCCGCACAUCAACAACGCCGGUGGAAGAAGCCCUAUAUAUGCGAAGCCUAAGUCAUUACCGUACUUGGACUAUCAUGCAUUGUCUCAUAUUAUAUAUCAGCCUUUUUCUUUCUUCCCUUUAUGUGACCAGUGUUUGUGACAUCCUGAAUUCUCGAUCAUUUCUACUAAAUUAAUUGGAUUGACGCGUCUAUAGGGUUGUUCUCAGAACUAAUCAUUCUAGAGAUAACUAGACUAGUUGGGCAAGCUAUUAAAGACUCUAAGACAAUAGAUUUGAGAAUUCGACUAGGAAUCGGCUACUCGACCGUAUCCAUAUUUAAAGGUCAUUGCGGCACAGUUAAAAAUCGAUUUGAGAUAAAAAAUAGGUCAGUUCGACUGAGAUGUGUGGCCGACCGUGGAUGACUCCACUAAAUUAGGAAAUUCUCAUCUACCGACACUAAUUUGAUUUUUCUAUCGUUUUGGUACCCCGUGUUCGUAAUUGAGUCCUCGAGACUUGCACGAAAAUCGAGAGUCACCAAUGUGUCAAGUGGGUUCAUUGUGGCUCAAAGAAAAUCGAUCACGGGUCAUUUGCCCUAAAAAGUUUUGAAAACUACCCGGUAGCCUAGGUCACGUUAAAAACGCGUCAAGAGGAAAUUAACCGCUAAUUCAAGUCCAAUUUCAAAAAUUGAAGUUUCUGUCAUAUCACAAUAAAUUAUAGGAGUAUCAACUUAGUCUCAGAAGAUUUUUCUGACAACCGAGACUUUUUGGGAAAAAGUCGUCGCCGGGUCGUUUUUGUGCAGAAAAAGCCGAGAAUCGAUUUUGUUGGCGAAAUUGAGAUGCAAGAUGGAUAUAGGGGUGAUGAAAAAUGCUAAGAUGAUCAUUGAGACAUCAAUUGAUUUUAUGAGAGCCGAUUGAGAGAGAAUCAAGAGAGAAUUAAAUCCAAUUGAAGAGAGAUGGUGCCAAAUUCGUAGCUCCCCCCAUCCCCCUAGUCAAGUGGACCAAUUGAGAAGUCAUGGGAAGUGUGUUGGUAGCCUAAUGAAGGCCAAUGGAUGAUACUUGGUCUAGAUUGAAACUUGGAGACCAAGUGUGGAAAGAUCAAGCCUUGGUGGAUCCCUCCAUCCCCCUCACUCUUAUCCUCUCUCUCUCUCUCUCUCUCUCUCUCUCUCUCUCUCACACCUUCUUGGCUGGCCAUCCCUCUCCUCUCCCUCUUGUUUUCACAUGCCACCAGCACAGUAAGGAGGAGAGAGCAGCAGCCUCGCCAGCCGCCCGUUGUCGCGUCGGACUGCCACCCUCUCCCCUCGCGCACGCGCCCGCCUGUCCGCGCACCGCCGUCCCCUUUGGCUGCCUCUUUCUCGCCCAGCUUACUGUCUAGCUGCUGUUCUCGGUCUGUGGAAGCUCAACCGGGGUUGUUUUGAGCUUGUUUGAACCUCGUAAGUUCACCUCUAGGCCCAGUUUGGCCUAUUUUUGCAUUCCCGGUCAAUCUCCACUUGAAACCGAGUUGUUUGCUUUUUAUUUCCAACCUAGGCCAGCAGGUUUUUAGAGUGGGUUUCCAGUCACUUCUAGGCCCGCUUUUGGAGUGUUCCGAGCCUCAGUUCCUAGACCACUUUGGAGAAAGCGCUCCUCGCGCCGUUCCCGUCGGUUUGAUCCGACUUGCACGUUAUUCUGGUGAGUUUAGCUCACUAAUCCUUGCUUAGUUUGCUAAUGAUACUUAAAGAUUGAUUAGAUUUAAUUAAGUGCAAUUACGUGGUUAGAUUAGAGUAGAUUAUUGAUUAUUAGAUAAUUGUGAUGCAUGUUAGGCAAUUGAAUUGUGCAAUUAGUGAGUAGAGACAUACUUUUAUUUAUUGAAUGUCCUCGGGAUUUUUUCCGACCCGUCUCGAGCUUCAAUUAGGCAUUACGGGCCUAAAUUGGAUUUUUAGUAUUUAUUUAUUAAUUUUCAAAAUUAAUUAAUUAAUUAAUUAUUUUCCAAAAAUUAGGUAAGGAUAGUCGAUGACCAGAAUUUUAUGCUGAUUGUCGUGGCGCAGUUCGUUUAUUUAAUUGAGCUUUAUUUUGUGCGAAAUUGAAUUAUCAGUGUAUUUGGGAAUUAUUCAUGAAAAAAUAACCGGGCAUUGAUUGAUAAUGCCAAAAUUUUUUUAGUGGACUAUAGAAAAUGUGGGAGUUAUGGAAAUGAAAAUAUUAUAUUUUGACUAAGGCCAACCGUGUGCCCGCGCACGAUAAUUUAUCGGGUAUGAUAAAAGAUGAGAAGAAAUGUUGUGUGGCGUGGCUCGGCGAUUAUUUCAUCGCGUUGGCAUAUAGGAUACUUAGAGAAUGCACGUAAAUUGUUGAAUAUAUAUCAUGCCUGUGUGGCGAUAAUUUAUCAUGCCUGUGUGGCAAUGAUUAAUCAUGCCUGUGUGGUGUAUAACGUGCCUGUGUGACGUAGAUUGUGCCUGUGUGGUCGUAUUUCUGUGUGUUGAAUGUCGUGCCCGUGUGGCCGAAAGUAAUUGGAAUGCCUGAAAGAGAAUGCACUUAAUUGGUUUAUAUUGACUCUGUGAUUAAAUAUAUCACCUUGUCGAAAAUGACACCCGAGAGCAUGCACAUAAAGUGUUUAUUGUACAUCACCUCGGCGAAAACGGCGUCUUAGAAAAUAUGUGGGAUGGGUGAUUGGUACAUUGUCUUGGCGAAAUCAGCGCCUAAGGGAAAAUACGUGGUUCGGUGACUAGGUAUUAUACUGGAAAUUGUAUAGUAUGGUUAGGAGUGACCAAGAGAUUAUUCGACUAACAUGUAAUUGACUAGGUCGAUUGAUCAUUGCUUAAUCUGAUGUUGUGAAUUGAUUGAUUGAAUGGAAAUGACAGGUGAAUGGUCUGACUGACAUGUAAUCAACUAAGUCGAUUUGAUCAAUGUUUCGAUUCGUGAUAUUAUGAUUGGGUGCCUAUUUGAAUUGUGCUAAUUUGCAGGUGGAAUAUGAGGCCAAGGUAAGUCCUCUGACCCAUGUGUGCAUAGGCAGCCCGGUUAGCAUAUUGGUUUAUUAAUCGAGUCUUAGGGGGUAGAACUCGCUGAGACGUGGUCUCAAUGGUCUCAAUGGUUAUUGUAUAACCAUUUCAGGUCCCUAGAUGGCAAUACCUCCACCUCCUCGUCCUCCUAUCCAUUUUGGCAUCCCUAAAGAGAUUACUGAGAUAGCAUACCACUUCCCGAUAAACCCCCACCUAGAAUGACUAGAGUAUGUGCUGAUAGAGUCCAAGGUUUGGGUUGAUGUAGGUUAUAAUGCUUUGGUGCCCCAUGAGUAUUGAUUGUGGUAUCAACACUACCACGAUGGACGACAGGAGGGUCCCAUCUCGGAAGGCGAUGCACCUUUAUACGUCCUUGAGGCAGCAUUCGGGCUGGGGAUGGCAGACCCUAAGGAUGGGUCGGUAGUGGAUGCUAAGGAUCCCAAGCUUGAAGGCGAUCCUGAGUCACCAGUUUACUCAGCUGAGGGUGCUAACUAGAGUGAGGAAGAAUGGGAGAUCAUCGAGCAAGAGGAGGGACAGGAGGAGGACCAAGAGUAAGAAGAGCCUGAAGAAGAAGAACCGAAGGAGGAUUACCUGUUGGACAACGCUGUUGACGAGCCAGCAGAAGACGAAGAGCUUAAAGAGAAUGAGAUUGAUUCAGAGGAGUCUGAGGAGGACCGGGAUGAUGAUUUCGAGUACGAUUGGGAUGAGGACUGAGAUCCCAUCCUGUUUUGUCAGACCUUGUUUAUAUGUGACUAGGCGUUAGACAAGACCUAUGUUAAUAGUAUUGUAAGAUACUAUGCGGUGUUUGUAUAAAAGUGUGGUUGUGAAUUUUCGGUAUGAAAAAUAUGGCCUUACUUUUCUAUCCCAUUGUUUUAUUGUCUGGGGAUUUAUAACUGCUUCCGCAUGUACUAUUAAAAAUAAAAAGGGUUAGCAAUAUGUAGUCCUGUGAUAUCGCAUUCUAAAAUCGAUCAAGGUAAGGGAUGUGAGCGUGCCUGAGGAUCGGGGCGUGACAGCGUUAGCCCAUACUUGUAUAAAAAAUUUUAAGAUCAGCACCGAAAAACUAUCAAAAAUCAUUUGCUCUAACUUAUUAGAUUUAUUAUAAUAGGUUGAUAAUGACUCUAAAAUAAACUUUUAAGAAAUUGAUCAUUAUAGUCGCAGACCUGACAAUAUUGGUAGAGCUGUGAGCAUCACAAAAGAUCCUUUUUGGGGAUGAUCCCAUAGAGAAGACUUUUGGAUCAUGACAACAAUGUUUUGGAGUUCACGAGAGAAGGUGACAACAAUUGAUCAUUCUUUUUUUUUUCACAGUUUGGGUUAUGGAAAGGCCAAUAAUGAGUUGAUUGAUGAUACACUUGAUUGUGUAAAAACGGAGACAUGCUUCUUUGUAGUGAAUAAGGUAUAGCAUUUAUUAUAAACGGUUCGUUUGUAAACACAAUUCGCUCGACCAAUAUAUAUAUGGAGAAAAUUCUUUCAAACAUAGUCCACGAGGAGAAACACUUCUCCUUCAAAUUGAUUUAUCUAGAGCAAAUACAACAAUUCCUAAAUCUAUUAGUUGGAAUCAAGUCACUUUACUAGAACAAUGGGAAUUAGAAAACCAAAUUCCCCAACAAGUUGUUCAAAAUGCAAAUCCGAUCAAUGUUAUUCAACAUCCAGAGGGAAGGGUAACUAUUAGGUUUCCCAUAAAAUCUUUCAAUUUAAGAUCUAGCCCUUCAUUUCAUACAUCCAUUGUCAAACAAAUAAAUAUCCAUGUUAAGGAAAUACCAUGCUUACCCCUAACUUAUUAAUCUACUUUCAAAAUAGUCGAAAUAGAUGCCUCAGAAAUAGGAUAUGGUGGUAUUUUUAAACAAGUCAAGAAUAGUUAAGAGCAGGUUGUCCAAUUUAUUUCAAUCCUUGGAGUUUAGGGGUAUCUAAUAUAGGAACGGGUUCUAAUUUUGAUUUUCUGAAAAGUCUUUUCUUUUGUUCUAUGACUUUGGCAAACAUUGGGUUAAGAUUUUAUGGAAAUUCAAAUGUCUUGAAAAUGGGUUUUUUGAAUUUUUUUACUUGUGGUAUAAUUUGUUGGAUAGGAUCUUCAGAUUUCUCUCUUCUUCCUCCUCACUUCCUCCUGUAAUCCCUCAUCCCUUCAAGUCUCAAGCUUUAUUACCUUAUAUCUCUUGUUACAAUGUCUGUUUUUCAAAUACAUUUAGUGUAGUUUAUACAAGGUUACCAACUUGCAUAAUAACUAUCUAACAGAUGAAUAGAGAAUAUAAAUUUUAAUUGCCUAUAAAAUAGAUGACUUUGGACAACACAUGGAUAAUGACCAAUGAUAUUUCAUUCAGGAUGCGGUGAAUACACUCAUUUACUCUAUUUCACAACACUUCAUAGGAGAUCCUUCGCAUAUUAAAGAUAGGAACCAAGACCUCUUGUCCAAUAUGAGAUGCAAAUCCUUAGGAAGAUUUAGAUAAUAUAAAGGACUUUUCCUUCAAAGGGUUUUUGUUAGACCAGAUUAUAACCAACCAUUUUGGAAAGAAAAAUUCUUAGCAAGUUUACCCCAAAUAAUAGGUGACCAAGUUAGAGAUAGGAUUAGAGAGGAAUACAGUGGCCAAAUACCUUGUGAUCUAAUUUCAUAUAGAGAAAUAAUUUCUUACGUUUAUAAACAAGGAACACAAAUGUGUAAUGCAAUCAAAUUAUAAAGACAACUCAAAGAGGAACGCCUCUUUCUCUUUGAGUUGGGAUAACAGUCAUUGGUCCUCUGCAUAAACUUGUCUCUACGGUACCAAGAAUGGAUUCAUCAUAAUUUAAAAGACGUGAGUUUCGUAGGACUAGGAGAAUAGAAGUAUUAAGACAUUCUUUUGUAAGAGGUUUAAUUCCUACCUGGACUAGUCCUAUAUAAAUAUAAUUGUAUUUUUAUUUAUGUUUUUUUAUACUAUCUUGGUUUAAAAGAUGUAUUUUUUUCGUAAGAGUUUGAAAGAGGAACGUCUCUUUCUUCAAUAGUUAUGACAUAAUCGUAUUUUUUGAAAAAUUUCAAUUUUGAUUGCUUGUAUAUUUCCUUAAACUGAACAUUAAGAAUUUCCCAAUUUUUUUUUAUAGAUUUGUUGAAAUCUUCUAUCCUUUCUUCUUCUCUGUGUAUGGGACCUAGAAUUGAGUCAAUUUGUGUUAGAGAACUAGAUGAAGACAUAGAUCUUCUAAGUAAGCUUAUACCUAAAGAUCAAAACUGUCCAUUCUUCAUAUUCGUAACAGAGCUAAACCAACGGUCUCAUUGCCUCUCUAGGACUUACGGCCUGAAUCACUCUGUAGAAACAAGAAGUGUGCCAAUGAAUGACUUUUGAUCUAUGAGUAUGAAUACUUAAAAAGACUAUCUACAUAGAGGACACUUUGAUUUAUAGCUUCGAUUUUUUAGUUUCCGCCUGAUGAUGAUUUAGUUGGCUUUUCCUUUAUGUCCGGACUAGGACAUAGUAAAAGGAACUACUAUAUUGAGAGCAGAUGACACUAUUAAUAUGCUACGGCAUUUAAUACGCUUCUCUCAGAGAUUAACAAUGGUAGGUAAAACAUUGUUAUCUAUGUUCCUGGGUGAAUUGGACGGCGUUUCCUGGUUCACAAUGAACUGAUCGGCGAGGGAUGACAGUGGCUCUUAUUGGAUGAUAAGGGCAAGAAAAAGGUUAAACAGAAGAAAACGUAAUGCUCAGCACGGCAUGGACUAAUCACCCUUUUCCUUUCGUUUUGUAUCGUUACGUUCAUUGGGGUCGGCACGGACGAUUGUUUUGUAUUGUUCCGUAGACUUCAACUAAGAACUCAACUAUGGACAGCAUGGACUCUUUAUUGGACAAUGAAGGUACGAUGAAGGUUUAUAUAUGUAGUAGAAAUUAUUAUCUUGGCCCAUAAUGAAUUGUAAAUAGAAGAAAACACAGAUCUUGACCAUUCUGUCUUUUCUUAUUAUUAUUUUUUUUUGUCACGAUCAUUGUUUCACACCCUCUCCCAUUCUAAUAACUGGCGUUGACACGGUACAUUGAUGAGGACUGACCAACGACUCCCCCAUAUUUUAUAUUUACAGUUUACUUAGGGUGCGUAUACGUUCAUUGGGGUCGGCACAGAAGAGGGGGUUGUAUUGUUCUGUAGACUUCGACGUCGAACUCAACGAUGGACGGCAUCGACUCUCAUUGGACGAUGAAGGUACGAAGAAGGUUGAUAUAUGUUGUAAAAAUUAUUAUCUUGGCCCAUAAUAAAUUGUAAAUAGAAGAAAACGCAGAUCUUGACCAUUCUGUACUUUUUUUCAUUUUUUUGGUCUCAACCAUUGUUUAACGCCCUCUUCCAUUCUAAUAACUGGCGUGGACACAGUAGAUUAAUGAGGACUGACCAACAACUCCCCCAUAUUUUAUAUUUCCCCCAUAUUUUGUAUUUAUAGUUUACUUAAGGUGCACAUACGUUCAUUGGGGUUCCGUAGACUUCAACUUUGAACUUCACGAUGGACGGCAUCGACUCUUAUUGGACGAUGAAGGUACGAAGAAGGUUGAUACAUGUAGUAGAAAUUAUAAUUUUGGCCCAUAAUGAAUUGUAAAUAGAAGAAAACACAGAUCUUGAACAUCCUGCCUUUUUCUAUUUUUUUUUUUUUUGUCUCGACCAUUGUUUUACACCCUCUCCCAUUCUAAUAACUGGCGUGGACACGGUAGAUUGAUGAGGACUGACCAACAACUCCCUCACUGACCAACAACUCCCUCAUAUUUUAUAUUCAUAGUUUACUUAGACUUCGACCUCUACUAAAUUAUGGCCACUUGAAUCUAGUGGGCCCUAGGCCGGCCCACGCCAUGUCGCAGAUAAUAAAACUCGAAAACUGAAAUUGAGUUUCACAGUAGUGAACUGAUAUUUGUUGGUAGUUUUUUUUUUUUUAAUACAUAAAUUUUGACAACCCAAUUAGUUAUUAAUUCCAUAAAAAAUUUAUGAAUUGACCCCGAUCCCUAACAAAAAAUCAAUAUUUGCAUUUGCAUAUUAGGGUUUUUUUUUUUUUUUUUAUGACUCAGGGAACCCCGCGCACCGUAUCGGGCAGGCCCGGGGUAAUGGGGGGUAAACCUUGGGGCGACGCUAGCGGAUGACUCACCACCUUGACUUCGCACUUAAGAUCCCGUGCGGCCAGCGGGAUUCGAACUCCUCUCCUCUCGCAAAGGAUCAUGGGAGCACUUAUCCAACUGGGCCACCACAGGCGGUGGUGCAUAUUAGGCUCUAUUUAUUUCACACAAAAUGAAUAAUUUGGAAAACAUUACCACCGGUCGUGGUGGCUCCGCUGGAUAGACUCCAGACUUCUGAAGAGAGAGAUCGAGAGUUCGAAACCCUUGCAACGCAAGUUGCAGGGAGGCUGGUGGGCCAUUUGGUGACUUAAGCGUGACAUCGGGGUGGUGGGUCCUCCGCUAGCAUCGCCCCAGGGUUUGCUCGCCAGCUGCCAGCUGUUCAAGGUUCCCUAGGUCAUCAAAAAAAAAUUGGAAAACAUUUUCCCAAAAAAAAAAUACUUGUGCCAUUUGAAAUAAUUAGUCAAUAAAAAAUACUUUUGUUAUUAAUGACAAUUUAUGUCUAUACAUUAUCGUAGACAAUAAAAAUAUUUUUCGAUCAUUCAUUUUAUAAGUGAUUUAGACAAUUAUUUUUUGGAAAAUGUAUUCCUAAUCAUUUAUUUUCUGUGAAAUAAGCACACUCUUAAUUACUUUUUUUUUUGCAUUAUUUAAAUUUUGGUCAAAUCCAUAGUAAGUGGCCGAAAUUUAUAAAUGGAAGAAGUGCCAAGGUGGAAAAAUAAAAUUUAUUAGAGUAAAUUCGAGGAUAAAGAAAAUAUCCUUAUAAGAAUUUUUCGAAGGACAUUCUUGCAACCAUAUCAUGGCAAGAUAGAAGAAAAGAAGUAUAGUGGUCUGGCACAUUGCAGGAAAUGAUAAAACAAAAUAAUAAAGUAGGUUCCAUUUAUUUUCACCGAAAAUGAAUAAUUUAGAAAAUAUUCCUUUAAAAAUGAUUAUUUAUAUCAAUUAUAAAAAUGAAUUAAUAAAUUAUUUUGAUCAUUCGCAAAAAUAGAUAGUUGGCAAUAAUAAUAAAAAAUUAUUAAUUAAUUAUUUUAAGCAAAACAAAUGAUAGUUUUUAAGAAAUAUAUUUUAAAUAAUUAAUUUUUUGUAAAAUAAACGAAAUCUUGAAAAGGAAAAGGUCAGACCCAAUCUAGCUAGGAUUGCUAGGUCAACAACGACGAAUAUCUGAAGCAAAUUCUGGGUGCUUUCAAUGAGGUUUGAGAGGGAAAGGAAUAUUGAUAGCUAAAAAGAAAAAGAAAACACUACAGAAAGAGAUAGGAGCAUUGGGACGCCAGCUUCUGCACAACCCCAGACACGCAACGCUUAGAAAGGACGGCUCACAAUUUAAGAGACGAAAAGAAAAAGAAAGGCGACUGUUCAUCGUUCUUAGGGGUUCUUGUUCAGCCGGUUUGGUUUAAUUUCUCGGAGUCGUUGACUCGUUGCUGCUUUCGUCUGGCGGUCUGGUUUGCUUUCUCGUCGAAUUUCUUGCGACCUUGUUUGUCGGUGUUGAUCUCUGGCUCCUGUACUUCUACGAACGCCGCCGCCGCAACCCCUCACCAGUCACCGCGCUCGCUACCGGCUUGCCCAUCGUCGCUCCUCUACCUCGCUUGCUGGCUCGGCACGUCCUGCUGCAGCCGCGACAGCAGCUUUGCCAACUUAUGCCAACGCCACAGCAGCAGGCCCUGGCGGUUUCCGGUGAUUCCAGGCGGCAUCCCGGCUCCACUUGACGCCACCGCUUGCCGUUUUGUUUCCUCUGCUUCGUUUGAUUUCUUUUCGCAGGUUGCCCAGAGCAGGUUAGCAUUGAUCAAACCCACACCGUUGCCGCCAAGCAGAGUCGGGGCGACCCCAGCUUUCCAGUUAGACUGCCCAACACCAACAAACCUUUACCGUUGCGUCUUUUGUUCUAGCAAACCUGUCUGCAAUAUGCCGCGUCCUUACUGGAUCGCCGUCGUUGCUGCUCUGGUCCCGAAGUUCCGCCUCAUGGGUCGACGUAAAGCUCCCCGCCCCGGUCCCGAUCCUCGGAAACAAAUACAUGAAACUAGGUAAUUUCUCGAACCAAUUUGAUUGUUUGCAAUUAUUGAUUAUCUAAUUUGAUAUUAUUCGAUUCUAAUCUUGAUUUGUUUGAGAUUUUUAAGCCUCUCCAUGUUAGGAAAUUUUCUAUUUCAAUAAUUUGAUCCAGGUUAUGGAUUGCAUAAAAAAAAAAAUUUAAAAAAAUUAAUAAUAAUUUUAAUUUUCCUUAUCCGUAAAUUUUAAUUCAAUAAAAGAUUAAAUAAAUAAAUCAUCAAACCUAAAUGAAUAUAAGUUGACAAGGUUUCAUAAAAUUCUGUUUUCCCAAUCUUCUUUUAGAAAUGCAUGUAUAAUUAAAAUUAAUAUGCACCUAAAAAUUGUCAACAACCAGCGUUUUGAGAUUUAUUUUUCUUGUUGCUUUUGACUGGUAAUAGUACAAUAAAGUAACUCCAAAAAAGCAGCAUUUUGUUCAUGACCAAAACGAUCAGGCCACUCAAAGCAUCCUUGAAUAGUAGUAGGUUUGCUUCUGACGCUAUUGCAAUCGAGGUGCAAUUUUUUGUCUCUCUUUUAAACUUAUUUUUUGGAUUAUCAUCUUGUUAAGUAACUCUUUUCCCUUUUUUUUCAAAUGAGAAAUUUUAAUCUCAAGCAAGUGUCAAUUCUUCUUUUCGUUUUCUUUUUUAGUUACAUUUGCUUCAUAUUUACAUUUUACUUAGAUGUCAAACUUCUACUUUUUGUUGAUUUGACUCUGGUGAGCCUCGGGCCAACGGAAAUGAAAACUUGUGGCUUUGCCUUUUUUUUUAAUAUUAAUUUUACUUAUUUUCUACUUUAAUUUUAAUACUUUCUUAUAAAGUGUGGGAGUCAAAAUUUAUAUUUAAAAUUAAAUCAUUCCCGUCCUAAUUUUAUUGAAGAGAUGGUGGUCUCUCUCCCCAAGUGAAAGGGUGUCCGUUGGGGGCAAACAGAGUGAUUAAUUUGAGGCUUUGCUUUACUAACACGAUAUCUUACCCUUUCUUCUAGUCACCUUUCUAAAAAGAAAAAAAGGAAAAAAGGGUAAAAGUGAAAAGACGACACAUUCCAAUUAAAAGACAAUGACAUGGUCCAUCACCGAUAUUGGAUUUCUAGCUCUACCCUUCACUAGCAUAAGGUAAAAAAAAAAACUAGUUUCCACCUUGCAUCGAUAAAUUUUAUGUUUUAUUGUUUGUUUAAUUAAAUCUUUAUUACUGACACAAUUAUACAUUAUUUUCUGUUGAAAUAUAUAUAUUUUCACAGCACAUAAAAAUUGAUAAGUAAUUUACUUAUAAUUUUCUUAUACUUGAAUAAACAUUUUAAAUUUUAACAAUAAAGUAAACGGUUUUGCUUUCUUUCCUUUUUUGGUUAGAACAGUUUUGCUUUCUAAAAAACAUAAAAAAAAAAAAUAAUUCUUACGAAAACUACUCUGAUCAUCGGGAUUACCUCUUUACGUUCUAUUUUAUCAUAUGUCAUUUGUGAAACGAGACCAUACGUAUACUUACGCCUAUCAAUAAUUCCCUUUAACAUUAACUAGACAUAUUACUUUACCAUAAAUUGUCUAAAAAAGAAAACUUAAUCAUCACAUUUGAUUUAAUAUAACGUUUCUAGAUCAAUAAACUAACGUUAACUUGCCUUCCUAAGUUUAGGUUUACUUAGACUUGACUCUAGUGGGCCCCAGGCCAGCCUUGGAAAUCGAAAUUUCACAAACUCAACUAAUAUAAACUUGCUCGAAAUGCACAGUACCGAAUUUCCCAUCCACCGGUCAACUCGUGGUGCUUAGGCCAUUUCUUAAUCCUUCAAUUGUAUUUCUGCAAUUUCUCUUGAUCAUUUCCGCAACCCGACGGAAAUGGAAACUAAGCCUCGCUUGCCUCCCUGACCAUCGAUCGUUGGCCCCUAUUAAAGCAUGUCGAAUCUUUUUGUGAUUUGCUUUCAGAAUUUUAGCAAACUCAGCUAAGAUGGAAAGGAAAAGGAGCUCUUCUCCGAAAACGAGAUCCACACGUCAUGGCUCAUCGAGGACUAAGUACGAUGUGUUCUUGAGUUUUCGAGGUCCAAAUACUCGCGCUACCUUCACAGAUUCCCUCUAUCAUACCCUGCUGGAUAAGGGUAUUAGUGUUUUCAUAGACAAGCAGGGGAUUGACGUUGGUGAAGAGAUUGGUCCCGAGAUUUACCAAGCCAUCGAUGACUCAAAAAUCUGCAUUCCCAUCUUCUCCAGAGAUUAUGCCUCCAGUAGCCGGUGCCUGCGCGAGCUAGAACACAUGAUACAGCGUUGGAAAACCAAUGAAUUGGAGGUUAUGCCCAUUUUCUAUGACGUGGAACCUUCUGACGUGAAGCUUGAAACCGGAGUGUAUGCAGAUGCACUAACUCUGCAUAAAGAAAAACAUGGGCCCGAGAUUAUGCAGCGCUGGGCGAAGGCGCUCAAGGAAGUUACUGGAAUCAAGGGCUGGGACACCAAGAACACAGGGUAUGUUAACCCACUCCACUUGAUCUUCCCUUUUCUCUUUGUUUCUUUUGCUUGAAGGUGGAUUAUGAUUUGAAAAACACAAUUUUUUCAUAGUUCUGGACCAAAAAUUAUGAUGGAUAUCGCUGUGAAUUCUACACUCCAUUGUCUCGACUCAAGGAUUACCUAUCGUCCUAGAUUGGAUAGAACCAUAUUGAAUCAUGUAUUUAUUCUUUUGUUUGCUAGGUCCAGCGUCAAUUUCGUAACUUCAUGUUCCCGUUUGAUCUUGCAAGUGAAAAAGUUUGCUACCAAUCUUAAAAUUCACUUGAUAUUCAUUGCUCGACAUAAGCAUGAUAACCUAUCAUCCUAAAUAUAACAUAACCAGAGAAUCAUGUAUUUAUUCUUUUGUUUGUUGGGUCCAACGUCAAUUUCAUAAGUUCAUGUUAUUCUUUGAUUUUGCAAGUGAAAAGUUUGCCACCAAUCUUGUAAUUCACUUGAUAAUGUUUUGUGUCCUGACACAGCCACGGAGAACUUGCACAUUCGAUUGCUCGGAAAGUGUCGGUUAAGCUUAAGGUAUCUUGUGUGCAUAUAUCCGAUCAUUUAGUUGGAAUGGACGAAUCAACAAAUGAAGUAGUAGAUUUGCUAAAUGUCAAAUCCAAGAACGUAAGGCUCAUUGGUAUUUGGGGAAUGGGUGGAAUAGGCAAGACAACUCUUGCCAAGGUUGUCUAUGACAAACUAUCUACUAAUUUUGACAGUUGUAGCUUCAUUUCAGUUAUUCGAGAAGUAUCGCAAGGUUCUGGUCUGUUAAAUGUGUAGAGGCGACUAGUCUCUGACAUCAUUGGUAAUGUAGGGGUUGAACUUUCUACCAUUGAUCAUGCGAAGAAUAUGAUCAAAAAUCAAUUUUGUAGAAAGAAAGUUCUUAUUUUUCUUGAUGAUGUAGAUCAUGAGAGCCAACUUAUGGCAUUGGCAGCAAAGGAAGAAUGGUUUGGUUCAGGAAGUAGAAUAGUUGUUACAACAAGAGAUAGAAGUGUUUUCUAUAAACUCCAAGAUCAAUUUGAACAUUGUUUAAUUUAUGAAGUUAAGGAACUUAACAAUCUCACAGCUCUUCAACUAUUUAGCAAGCAUGCCUUUAGAAGCAACUCUCCUCCAAAUGCAUUCUUGAGUCUAUCUGAGAAAGUUAUUGCAAAAACCGGAGGACUUCCUCUAGCUAUUGAAGUUAUUGGCUCAUUGUUAUGUGGAAAAAAAGAGGAAAGAGUGUGGCAAGAUACAUUGAAAAAGAUGGAAUAUUGUCAGCAAAGGGAUGUGAAGGAAAAAUUAAUGUUGAGUUAUCAGGCAUUAGAUCGUUUGCAACAACAAAUAUUUCUUGAUAUCGCUUGCUUUCUAGUUGGAGAAGAUAAGAGCUAUCCAUAUUACAUGUGGGAUGACUGUGGAUUUUUUCCCAGUGAGGGGAUUGAUAUUCUGCUUUUAAUGUCCUUAGUGAAGAUUGGAGAAAUGAAUCAACUAUGGAUGCAUGAUCAGCUUAAGGACUUAGGUAGGAGCAUUAUGUAUGAAGAAAAUUGCAAAGACCCCACAAAGGGUUCUCGAGUGUGGCGGGCUGGGGAAGGUGGUCCGGAUAUUGUCCAGCAAAGGAAGGUAUAAGUCUAAGUGCACCCUCGUAUUCUUUUUUCAUUGCAGAAAACUUCCUUGGUCUGUUUUGCCUUUAUUUUGGGCUCUAUUUGGAACUCCUCAAUUUGAGCUGACUCUUUCUCAAUUUAGGGAACGGAAACUGUUGCAGUGUACUAUAAUCGAUAUGAGGCUCCUCUCCAAGACUCUGUUUUGACAUCAAAAGGCUUUAUCGAAGUGCCAAAUAUUAGAUUUCUCAAAUUGUCUGGUUAUACCCUCUCCGGAGAUUUUGGGGAUCUUUUUUCAGAAUUGAGAUGGCUUACUUGGGAUUGUCUUCCAAAAGAAAUGCAGGCAACCAACUUUUGCCCAAAAAAUCUAGUCAUCCUUGACCUAUGGGGGAGUAGCUCAAUAGAUGAACAUUGGGGUGGUUGGACUCAACUCAAGGUAUGUAUGUGUGUGCAAAUAAUUUGGGAUAACAUGUUAUAUUUUCUUCCAGUCUCACCAGCUCUUGUGUUGCACGUGGUCAUCAAUCGUCAUCCUUGAUCUCUUUUUUUAUUUUUAUUUUUAUUUUAUUGAAGUCUAUUGGUUUAAUUCAUAAAACAACUCUUGAUCUUGAAGAAGGCUUAUGACACCAAUCCCUCAUUUCAAAUAUCUGAAACUUAACCGUUGUGUUUUCACUAAAAAACAUCAAAUCAAACAAUUACUUUACACUUAUGUCAUAGAUGUGAUUCAAGAGAUAAUGCCACUUUUAUAUCCCCGUUGAAGACACUUUGGUCAAUGGAAAGACUGGUACCCUUGACCACUUUUAUUCGUUGAUUCAAUGUUGUGUUCAUAGAUAUUUUGUUGUGUUAAUGGAGAGAAUUUAACUUGUGUAGAUUUUUCAAGAUUGCAUCUUUCAUUUUUACCUAAUCAAAGAAUUAACUUACCGAAAAAAGAAAAAGAUGUUAUGAUUUGGUUGAUGGUCAUCAAUCUGCAUUGCAUUUUAUAGUUUUAAAUUGAUAUUUUGUUAUUGCUGUUUUACCAUUUAUGCCAAUUCUUCUCCGAUGGCUUUCUUCAUUUCAAAUUGAUUGUAGCUGCAUUAUUAAAGGGCAUUUUAAUUUGUGCAUUCUAUGUUACUAGUAACUAAAUUUUUGCGUUGCACAAUAAAUAGAGGAAAUGACUUGAUUAGAUAAUCAUACAUAUUUCGUGAUUUCUGUAAUUUGUAGGAUUGUCGAAUUAUCUAAUGGAAUAGUCAUAAGAUAUUUAAGAUUAAUUUUUAUAUUGAAAUUUAGAAGAUACAUUUACAUAGGAAAAGCCGUGGAGUUUAGUGUCGUAAGUAUUAGUGGUGGGGACAAAAUCGAUAAUUCGAUGAUGAAGUUGGAAAGGGAUGUUACAAUUUAUAGGAGAAGCGUUGGCUAUAUUCUGUCUUUUUAUUUUUUGAUACAGGGGUAAUUUGAGAAUAGAUCUUUCUUUUUUUAAAUUUAUUGUUGGGAAAAGUAUUGGAAGAAAUGAAAAAAGUGUGACAAAGAGUGAUUUUGGCUUAAGUUAGGAAUGCAUAUACAGAGUAUUUAUAAGGUUACUUUAGUGGAAUGCUUCUUUAGUCGAUAUAUUUGCUUAUGUCUCCCAAAACUUCUAUAACUCGUUGGAUAUACAUAAUCAUUUGACAGGUGGCUAGAAGAUUGAAGGUCCUUAACCUAACAUGUUACAUUUUGAAGGAAACUCCUGACCUCUCUACAUUUUUAUCCUUAGAAAUAUUAAUUCUGAAGGAGUGUUAUGAGCUUACGAAACUCCCCAACUCGAUUGGAAUGCUGAAAUGUUUAGUUAAAUUGGAUGUCUCACACACAAGUAUCGCAGAGUUGCCAAAUACCAUUGUCAAUCUAAAGAGCUUGAAAGUGUUGAAGAUGGACUAUAGUGACAUGCAAAAGUUGCUUGAGGCUAUUGGGAUGAUGGAGAAACUUGAGGAAAUUUAUGGACGCAAUUGCCAGGAACUAGAGAUAAUUCCUAGUGAUAUCGGGAGACUACCAUUCUUGAAGAUUUUGGCAUUAACAAAAACUCAGGUGGAGAAUGUGCCAAAGCUUCCACAGAGUUUGGUAAGUCUAUGUUUGUCCUCAAGUGCCAUAGGAAAAGUUUCAGAGAUCUACAACCGGGUGAACCUUCCGAGUUUAAGAAAUCUGGAAUUAUGUUUCGGCAAAGGCAAUGAUGAAACCUUUGUCUACUAUAAAUCAAAGCGACAAUCCCACGCUUUAUACAUCUCAUUGCGUAUGAAACUUUUGAGUAUUACCAGCGUAAGUUCAUAUGGGGGUUGGCUUCAUUGUACAAGAGAACUUGAAAUUAUCCAGUUCAAGACCCUAUGCCAGAUUCAACAGCUUCCCUCUAGUUUGAGGAAACUCGAAAUUAGUGAUUGCAGUAUUCUUGAAGUCGUCAACCUUUCUAACUUGGAGAAUUUGUUGGAGCUACGUCUAAUUAGGAAUCCGAUUUGUGAUAUUCAAGGGCUUGAAGGUUUAGCAUUGUUGCAAUGCUUGAAAGUGAACGACUGCAAGUCAAGCAAGUUCAACGAGCUCGAAAGACUGAAGAAUCUACGGCUCUUGCAGCUUAAGAUGUGUCCCUCCCUUCAAACAUUGUUCAACUUAUCUAACUUGAAAAAUCUCAAGGAGUUUGAACUAUGGGAUUGUCCAAAACUGGUUGACAUUGAAGGUCUUGAUAGAUUGGAAUCACUAGAAAGGCUUGAUAUCCAAUGUUGCAGUUCCUUGCGAAGCUUACCUAAUCCAUCCCACUUGAAGAAGCAGAAAAAUCUGCGCCAAAUUCAACAACUUCCCUCUGGUUUGAGGAAACUCACAAUUAGUGAUUGCCAUCUUCUUGAAGUUGUUGACCUUUCCAACUUGGAGAAUUUGUUGGUGCUAAGUCUAAUCAACAAUGAGAUUUGUGAUAUUCAAGGGCUUGGAGGUUUAGCAUUGUUGCAAUGCUUGAAAGUGCACGACUGCAAGUUAAGCAAGUUCAACGGGCUUGAAAGACUGAAGAAUCUAUGGCUCUUGCAACUUAAGAUGUGUCCCUCCCUUCAAACAUUGCCCAACUUAUCUAACUUAAAAAAUCUAAAGGAGUUUGAAUUAUGGGAUUGUCUGAAACUGGUUGAGAUUGAAGGUCUUGAUAGAUUGGAAUCACUAGAAAGGCUUGAUAUCCAAUGUUGCAGUUCCUUGCGAAGCUUACAUGAUCUAUCCCACUUGAAGAAGCAGAAGAAUCUAUGCCAAAUUCAACAACUUCCCUUUGGUUUGAGGAAACUCGAAAUUAGUUAUUGCCAUCUCCUCGAAGGUCUCGAUCUUUCCAAUUUGGAGAAUUUGUUGGAGUUAAGUCUAAUCACCAAUGAGAUUUGUGAUAUUCAAGGGCUUGGAGGUUUAGCAUCGUUGCAAUGCUUGAGAGUGGACAACUGCAAGGCAAGCAAGUUCAGCGAGCUUGAAAGACUAAAGAAUCUACAACUCUUGCAGCUUAGGAUGUGUUGGUUCCUUCAGACAUUGCCCAACUUGUCUAACUUAAAAAAUCUCAAGGACUUUGAACUGUGGUACUGUCCAAAACUGGUUCAAAUUGAAGGUCUUGACAAAUUGGAAUUACUACAAAGGCUUGAUAUCCUAUGCUGCAGUUCCUUGCGAAGCUUACCUGAUCUAUCCCACUUGAAGAAGCUGAAGAUGAAUUCGCAGUGACAAAAACCAAUAGCUCGAUGAGAUGAUCUCCCACUCUAGCACUUGAAAAAGCUUGAAGAUCAGUAAAUCCUGAAAUUUGAGGCUUGGAGGAAUUUGUCAUCAAAAUGUUGCAAGAUCAAUUUACGGUGAUUGUCCACACCUGAUUUUUAAUCGAAUUUCCAGCAAAAUUGGCCAUUUAUAUGGUUUUUAUUAAAAAGCCUAGUCCAAUUCGCCUUCAGCCCAAGUCAUUUCUCACAUGAUUUUUUCUAGAAGUUCGGCUCUGACAAAAUGGGUUCUGACCGCAAAAGGGAGAGAUUUCCUUCUCCGUCGCCUUGGAUUCACCAUGGUCUAGCUCCAUAGCCGGCCACUUCGAGCUCAAUGACAACCUUACCAGAAAACAGAGCAUCAUACAUGCACACUGGCUGCACAAUGUUGGAAGAUACGCAUCUCUUUAGAAUAUUAGAUUGAUUCUAAUUUGAUUUGUACAGAUCAAUUAAGAUUAGAUCUAGAAUAGAUUGAUUUUUAGAAUCAUUCUUUUCCUUGUUCAUUGACUGUCUUGUAUUAUAACUUCUCAAGAUGUACAUUGAUCGGAUCAUUGAAGAAUACAGAAUACAUAAAAUAUUCUCCUCAAAAUCUCGUGUUCUUCAGUCUCUCUUUUUCUUUUUCAUCUUCUUACAUGGUAUCAGAGCGGUUCUGAAGAUCUGAAUUGCUUCUGCUUUCUUUGUCUCAUCAUCUUUCGAAGAACUCCUACAUCUUCAUCUGUCCAGUCUCUUAGUCCUCAAAUCUCUUUUCUUUAUUCCUUCUACCAAGAUCGUCAACCCUGCACGAAGUUGAAACCUCAAUUUAUUUAUAAUGACAAAUCCUGUCAACAACUUACCUUCAGCCUCCAAUGAGCGUCCGCAGGAUGGAAAUUCCAAAGGUCAGGACACUGUUCCCACCGAGGACGUCGCCAGAUCUCAGGAAUCACCUGUCCAAACUCAAGAAAUUCAUCAUUCUCCGACUCAGUCAAUUCUGGGGCAACCCUACUCGGUUCAGCCCAUUCCGGGCCAACCAAUAGUGGGCCAUCCUUACCAGUGGCCACUGUUUCAAUACAACCCAUGGUUGUUUGGGCCUAACCAGAACGCAUCAUCGCCAGGAGUUCAACCCGCCAGAAGCCUACCAACCGCAAGCGGGGCAAGCGCAACCGGUGGGUCGGGUGGAACAAAUUCGGGACCAACAAAUGCGGGUUAUGGAUCCGGUUCAAAUCCGGGUAUGGGAGCAAAUCCCUACCUGAAUUUUUCACCCGGUUUUUUGCCGUUUCCAGGAUCAAUUUUCACCAGACGACCAGAAUCCGGCGACCCCCUGUUCGUUUCCACCGCCGACGGACCUGAACUGAAGUUAAUCAAUCACCAUCUUACCGGGCACGAAAAUUACUCCAGGUGGUCGCAGGAAUUCCGCCGAGCCUUGGUGACUAAAGACAAGGAUGGGUUCAUCGACGGGACCAUUCUCGUUCCUUCGGACGAGCGGCUGGCGCGCCACUGGAGGAAAUGCAAUCAACUCGUCCGAACUUGGAUCGGCAACUGCAUCUCCCUAGAGGUCGCAGCCGGACUACCACCCACAGAAGAUGCUCAAAAGAUGUGGGAAAAUAUAAAGGAAAUGUACGGGAAACUCGAUCGUGUCAAAAAAUUUUCACUUAUGCAGGAAUUGAGCGACUUAAAACAGGGGAAUAUGACAGUCACAGCUUAUUUUAACAAGCUCUCAUCCUUAUGGAACGAACUGGAAGCCGUCGAGGAAAAGCUCGAGGGACCAGAAUCGACUCUACAGCAGUAUCGUUCAAUCAAGGAGAGGGAAAAGGCUACACGUUUCUUGUUGAUUUUGAACGAUACUUACCUUACCUUUCGUUCUCAGAUCUUAGCCAUGGACCCUGUCCCUCCGAUCGGGCAGAUCUACCAGUUGGCCGUGCAGGAGGAGAGCCAACGUCUUACGUCGCCGGAGCAUGCAAGGCACGGCGACAGCAUCGCCCUCGCAGCCCGCGGCGAGCGAAGAGACGGAUUCGCAGCGAAAACCCUAACCCUAAAUCGAGAGGGAAGGAGAGGCGGAUUAAGGUUCUCGGGCGGAGAAGAUCUCACUCGCCCCUUUAAAAGGGAUGGUAUCGACGGCCGAGAUCUAAUCCGCGGAUCGGACGGACCAAAUCGCGCGCUUGGAUCAAACGGACCAGAUCGUCCGCGUGGAUCGGACGGUCUUCUUGGCUUCGAUGGCAUGGAUGGAUCCGACGGUGGAUAUGAUCCCGCAAAUAAAGGAGCGGACGGCCAGAUAUUUGCCACGUCAUCAAAGAAUUUCCGACCAAAUUUUAAGGCAAAGGGUAAAAUGUUUUGCGAUUAUUGCAAACGUUCUAACCAUAUGAUUGACAGUUGUUGGAAAUUACAUGGAAGGCCCGGAGAAAAGGAGAAAAAAAUAUCAACUGCCUAUCAGGUGACUGGACCUACAGGCCAAAGUACCGACCAACCUAUUUCUUAUGGCCAAUAUCAACAAUUAAUGCAUGCUCUUCAGAAAUUAGAAACCUCCAACAAAGGAGGAAGUUUUUCAGGUAUCUCGCAUUGCCUUAUUAAUUCAAUUUCAAGAAAGGCAUGGAUUAUUGAUUUAGGUGCUAGCGAUCACAUUAUUUGUGAUAAGGCAUUUUUCACAAGUCUGAAUGAGGGAUUAAUUUCUCCUGUCACCGUGCAAUUACCCAAUGGGAAUAUCACACAUGUGAAUGUGACCGGAACAGUUAAACUUAGCCCUCAAAUUACACUUGAGAAUGUUCUUUAUGUGCCGGAAUUCCAGUUUAAUCUUAUUUCUGUCUCAAGAGUACGCAAGGAGAACUCAUGUCGGGUAUUCUUUGAUAUUGACACAUGCUUCUUUCAGNNNNNNNNNNNNNNNNNNNNNNNNNNNNNNNNNNNNNNNNNNNNNNNNNNNNNNNNNNNNNNNNNNNNNNNNNNNNNNNNNNNNNNNNNNNNNNNNNNNNNNNNNNNNNNNNNNNNNNNNNNNNNNNNNNNNNNNNNNNNNNNNNNNNNNNNNNNNNNNNNNNNNNNNNNNNNNNNNNNNNNNNNNNNNNNNNNNNNNNNNNNNNNNNNNNNNNNNNNNNNNNNNNNNNNNNNNNNNNNNNNNNNNNNNNNNNNNNNNNNNNNNNNNNNNNNNNNNNNNNNNNNNNNNNNNNNNNNNNNNNNNNNNNNNNNNNNNNNNNNNNNNNNNNNNNNNNNNNNNNNNNNNNNNNNNNNNNNNNNNNNNNNNNNNNNNNNNNNNNNNNNNNNNNNNNNNNNNNNNNNNNNNNNNNNNNNNNNNNNNNNNNNNNNNNNNNNNNNNNNNNNNNNNNNNNNNNNNNNNNNNNNNNNNNNNNNNNNNNNNNNNNNNNNNNNNNNNNNNNNNNNNNNNNNNNNNNNNNNNNNNNNNNNNNNNNNNNNNNNNNNNNNNNNNNNNNNNNNNNNNNNNNNNNNNNNNNNNNNNNNNNNNNNNNNNNNNNNNNNNNNNNNNNNNNNNNNNNNNNNNNNNNNNNNNNNNNNNNNNNNNNNNNNNNNNNNNNNNNNNNNNNNNNNNNNNNNNNNNNNNNNNNNNNNNNNNNNNNNNNNNNNNNNNNNNNNNNNNNNNNNNNNNNNNNNNNNNNNNNNNNNNNNNNNNNNNNNNNNNNNNNNNNNNNNNNNNNNNNNNNNNNNNNNNNNNNNNNNNNNNNNNNNNNNNNNNNNNNNNNNNNNNNNNNNNNNNNNNNNNNNNNNNNNNNNNNNNNNNNNNNNNNNNNNNNNNNNNNNNNNNNNNNNNNNNNNNNNNNNNNNNNNNNNNNNNNNNNNNNNNNNNNNNNNNNNNNNNNNNNNNNNNNNNNNNNNNNNNNNNNNNNNNNNNNNNNNNNNNNNNNNNNNNNNNNNNNNNNNNNNNNNNNNNNNNNNNNNNNNNNNNNNNNNNNNNNNNNNNNNNNNNNNNNNNNNNNNNNNNNNNNNNNNNNNNNNNNNNNNNNNNNNNNNNNNNNNNNNNNNNNNNNNNNNNNNNNNNNNNNNNNNNNNNNNNNNNNNNNNNNNNNNNNNNNNNNNNNNNNNNNNNNNNNNNNNNNNNNNNNNNNNNNNNNNNNNNNNNNNNNNNNNNNNNNNNNNNNNNNNNNNNNNNNNNNNNNNNNNNNNNNNNNNNNNNNNNNNNNNNNNNNNNNNNNNNNNNNNNNNNNNNNNNNNNNNNNNNNNNNNNNNNNNNNNNNNNNNNNNNNNNNNNNNNNNNNNNNNNNNNNNNNNNNNNNNNNNNNNNNNNNNNNNNNNNNNNNNNNNNNNNNNNNNNNNNNNNNNNNNNNNNNNNNNNNNNNNNNNNNNNNNNNNNNNNNNNNNNNNNNNNNNNNNNNNNNNNNNNNNNNNNNNNNNNNNNNNNNNNNNNNNNNNNNNNNNNNNNNNNNNNNNNNNNNNNNNNNNNNNNNNNNNNNNNNNNNNNNNNNNNNNNNNNNNNNNNNNNNNNNNNNNNNNNNNNNNNNNNNNNNNNNNNNNNNNNNNNNNNNNNNNNNNNNNNNNNNNNNNNNNNNNNNNNNNNNNNNNNNNNNNNNNNNNNNNNNNNNNNNNNNNNNNNNNNNNNNNNNNNNNNNNNNNNNNNNNNNNNNNNNNNNNNNNNNNNNNNNNNNNNNNNNNNNNNNNNNNNNNNNNNNNNNNNNNNNNNNNNNNNNNNNNNNNNNNNNNNNNNNNNNNNNNNNNNNNCCAAUGAAAAGAACUUUAUUAUGCACCUUAAGAAUGGGCCCAUAGUACUUCUUUCCUUAUGCGCAAUGCUCCAUAUGUCCCCUUGCCAAACAGUCACGUAAUCCAUUUCCUCUAGGGAAUACUCGUGCCAAUGAAAUUUUAUCAUUAAUUCAUGUCGAUAUAUGGGGGCCUUACCAUACAUCAAAUCAUGAAGGGUCUCGUUAUUUUCUCACCAUAGUAGAUGAUUGCUCUCGAGCAACAUGGAUUUUCUUAAUGCAGUCUAAAGGCCAGGCUUAUUCUCAUUUGAAGACAUUUAUUACCCUUUCCAAAAAUCAAUUCGGGAAGUCUAUUAAAAGGAUCCGAACAGAUAACGGAAAGGAGUUCUUCAGCCAUGAUUGCAUCUCAUUAUAUUUAUCUCAUGGAAUUCAACAUGAAAGUUCUUGUAUAUACACCCCACAACAGAAUGGGGUAGUUGAGCGCAAACACAGGCACCUUCUGGAAGUUGCUAGAGCCCUGAAAUUCCAAGCAAAAGUUCCGGAUGAAUAUUGGGGAGAAUGUGUCAUUACAGCAGCUUAUCUCAUCAACCGAAUGCCCACUCGGGUAUUGAAUGGGAAGACACCUUUUGAAGUAUUAUUUGGCAAGGAGCCGGAGCGGGCACAUCUCAGAGUCUUCAGGUGUCUAUGUUAUGCAGCUAUAAUGGGCCCUCGAGACAAACUGGAUCCUCGUGCACGUCGCUGCGUAUUCAUGGGAUAUCCUACCCUACAGAAAGGAUAUAGAGUCAUGGACCUAUCUACCAAGGAAUUCCUUGUGACUAGAGAUGUUUCAUUUCAUGAAAACGUCUUUCCUUUCGAAGAAAAAACGCUCUCACAUGAAGACUCUGGUACAAUUCCACGUCGUCCCAUGACAGAUGAUCCAGAUCUUAAUUAUAUACCGGUGUCGGUAUCUACUCCUAAUCAUUAUGAACAGGUCAUUCCUUCAGUAGCAGAUUCUGGUUCUCAUGAAGAUCGAGAUCCAGCAAAUGUCCCAGAAAGUUCACUUGCAGAUCCUUCUACUAAUGAAGAAAUGGAAGAAACCUUCGCCACUGCAACGAGGGAAACAUCUUCACCUCCAAGAGUCGACCCUCCACGACGUUCUGGUCGAGCUACACAACCUCCUACCUGGACCAAAGAUUAUCUAUGUUCUGCACUCAACUCACCAGGUAUCAAAUAUCCAGUCUCAUCAUAUGUUUCCUUCCAUAAUUUGUCAUCAGAACAUAGAUGUUGCAUUAGUAAAUUAUCAGAGGAUAAGGAACCUACCAGCUAUGAUGAAGCUGCUGAUCCAAGAUGGCAGAAGGCCAUGGAAGCAGAAUUACAAGCAUUGAUUGACAACAAGACUUGGGAUCUUGUCACAUUGCCGCCAAAUUGCAAACCAAUUGGCUGCAAAUGGGUCUAUAAGAUCAAAUAUCAAGCUAAUGGUUCUGUUGAGAGAUUCAAGGCAAGACUAGUUGCCAAAGGCUUCACACAGCGGGAAGGGUUUGAUUACCACGAAACCUUCUCCCCAGUUGCCAAAGACGUCACAGUACGUUCAUUCUUGGCAGUAGCAGCUGUUCGAAACUGGUCCUUACACCAGAUGGAUGUCCACAACGCCUUUCUUCAUGGAGAUUUAAAUGAAGAAAUUUAUAUGGACGUUCCUCAGGGAUUACGGAGACAGGGGGAGAAUAAAGUGUGUCGCCUCCGAAAAUCCCUUUAUGGGUUGAAACAAGCUUCCAGGCAAUGGUAUGCCAAAUUCACAAGUGCUCUCACAACAGCAGGCUUUCGUCAAUCUCGACAUGAUUAUGCCUUAUUCACACGGACUAAAGGUAUGACAUCUAUCUAUUUGAUGAUUUAUGUCGAUGAUAUUCUUAUUAUGGGAAACAAUGAGGCUGCCAUAAGAGAUUUUAAGAGGUAUUUGCAUGCAAUUUUUCACAUUAAGGACUUAGGAGCUCCUAAGUACUUCCUUGGUAUUGAAAUUGCCCGUUCUGAACAAGGGAUUUCGCUUAGUCAGCGAAAAUUCAUAAUGGAGAUUAUUUCAGAAACAGGACUGUCAAGUUGCAAGCCAGCUGCUAUUCCCAUUGAACAAAACACUAAAUUGACAACCGCAGAUUAUGAUAAGGGAAUCUCUCAAGAAGAAGACUUCACUUUGGAAGAUCCUUCAAGCUACCAAAGACUUGUUGGAAAACUCAUAUAUUUGACCAUGACUAGGCCUGGCAUCUCUUAUGCAGUGCAAACUCUUAGUCAAUUCAUGCACAGUCCGAAGCAAUCACAUCUUAAUGCUGCAUUUAAAGUUGUGAAAUAUCUGAAGAAAUGCCCAGGUCUUGGAAUACUCUUGUCAAGAAAAUGCAACAUGGAAAUGACAGCAUAUUGCUAUGCAGAUUACGCAACUUGUCCUAUGAGUCGAAGAUCUGUCACUGGGUAUUGCAUCAAGUUAGGAGAUUCUUUACUCUCCUGGAAGACUAAAAAGCAACCCACUGUUUCUUUAUCUUCAGCUGAAGCAGAAUAUCGAGCCAUGGCCAAGACCACUUGUCAGAUAGUAUGGAUUCGGGGUCUUCUUAAGGAUCUUGGAAUACAAGUACAAGGAGCAACAAAGCUAUUCUGUGAUAAUGAUGCAGCCUUAAAACUUGCAGCAAAUCCUAUAGUGCAUGAGAGAACCAAGCAUAUAGAGGUUGACUGCCAUUUUACACGAGACAAGAUCUCAGAAGGAGUCAUUGAAACAAGAGGAAUUGGAACGACAGAACAGCCUGUAGAUAUCUUCACCAAACCUCUGUGUCAAAGACAACACGCAUAUCUUCUAAACAAGCUAGGUGUCUUAGACAUAUACAAGCCACCAGCUUGAGGGGGAGUGUUGGAAGAUACGCAUCUCUUUAGAAUAUUAGAUUGAUUCUAAUUUGAUUUGUACAGAUCAAUUAAGAUUAGAUCUAGAAUAGAUUGAUUUUUAGAAUCAUUCUUUUCCUUGUUCAUUGACUGUCUUGUAUUAUAACUUCUCAAGAUGUACAUUGAUCGGAUCAUUGAAGAAUACAGAAUACAGAAAAUAUUCUCCUCAAAAUCUCGUGUUCUUCAGUCUCUCUUUUUCUUUUUCAUCUUCUUACACACAACAAUCCUCUCUGGACGAGAGAUUCGUGGAUUCGAAUCACAAUUUUUGACGUCUCUUAGCUUAUUCCAAUGGCUGUCGCUAACGCCAUUGGCCAUUUCACGGUCGCUCUUAGUGUGUCCCGUUUGACUGUCUUCAUAUUCAAGAGUCCGAAAGGAAUCUAAUUCGUGUUCGAUUCUCCACUACCAGCUCCGAUCUUCACCGGCAAAGCUUCCAGAAAUUCCUUUUCCGAUUUGGUCCCUAAUGGUUGCUUUGAUAAGGUAAAGUGCACGCUCUGUUUCUUUCGAAAUAGAGACAUUGAACUUGCGAAUUUAAUUAUACAAGAACUGAACUUUGUUCGAGGCAACUACAAUGAUUGCGUACGUGUUUCGAGUUUUACAUGAUGCUUUGGGUGUACUUUUACUUAAUAGGAUUUACAUUCGGACUGCUUGCUAGUUGUUUGAGUAAUUGUCUGAGUGAAGUCUAUACUUGGGUAUGCGAUUUUUGUUCCUGUUAUACGUUCGCUAUCUUCUUUUUUGUUGCAUAUUUAUUCAUAUGAAUCAGUUUUCCGAGUAAAUUAGAGGUGCGUGAGCUCGAAACCUUUGUGCGACUGAUUGAGUUAGAGAGCUUGUUCUUGUUGGAUUGAAAUCGUUGUUCGCUGGCUUCGCAUGGAUUGUUCUUGUUUAUGAUACAGGAUCCGUCGCUGACAUUGAAAUGGCCUUUGCAUUUUUUUCUUUGAUCAGAAAUCUUACUGCCAAUCAAGUGCGUGUUCUUCUUUUAUAUUUUCCUUUUUCAUCCUAUCAAACGUAGAUUUGAGAUCCAAAAUUAAUAGAGCACAAAAAAUUGAGGGGUUACUCAACUUGGAUUAAGAUCAAACGAAGGACCAACUGUUUUAAUCAGCCAAAAUCAUCUACCAACCUAUCUAUAUCGACCUCUAUUAUAUUUCUUUGAAGAUUUCAUAAGCCACAUGUCAAAUUUGACAUAUGAUACCCCGCUUUUUUUUCUUUUGGGAAUUAGGAUUGAGUGUUAGUUGACAAUCUCUUUUUCUAGAGUUCAAGAGAAAUAUUAUUACUAGGUUCGAUAAACGAUAUAUAGAGACCAAACAUAAGUCUUCCCUUGAUCAAUUAAUUUCACUAUAAUUGAAUGGGGGAAACUCGCUACACAACAAUCCUCAAAGAUUGGAUCCAAAAAAAAAAAAAAUCCCCAAGGAAAGAUAGCUGAAUGAAUAAAACUAAGGGCACAUAGAUAUUAUAUNNNNNNNNNNNNNNNNNNNNNNNNNNNNNNNNNNNNNNNNNNNNNNNNNNNNNNNNNNNNNNNNNNNNNNNNNNNNNNNNNNNNNNNNNNNNNNNNNNNNGUGACGUAGGUCAUCCUCGGAGAAGUGGAUGUUGCUCACUCAACUGUACAAACUAUCUUAAGUGGUUCUACAAUAGUCCAAGACAUGGUUUCUCAUGGCACAACGUUAUAGAAUGCCAUUAGAUGGUAUGGAUUAUUUAUACUUUUUUUUUUGUUAGGCGACUGGGACUAUCUAAUGCUUAUGAUCGCAGCGAUGCUUGAGAUAGAUGCGACCAUUGGAAGUCAGAGUUGAUGACUUUGAAUAUCAAGCAACUACAUGAGAGUUUUCAUGUUUUUACAGCUCAGAAUAAUCAUAUGAAUUCAAAUAGAUGUGUGUGGAUUAAGUGUUGUCCAAGCCAAAUAGAGAUAUUGAUUGGGAGAUCAGAUCAAAUGCGAUCGUCUUCAAAGAUGUGUCGCUUAGUUGUGCUGGUCAAAUGCUUUGUCUUCUUACUAAUACUUUGAUAAGUACAUUGAUCAAAUUUGCCAAUACUAUUUCCUCUCCUUUUUUUUUUUUUUUCCCACCCCUCUUUCUUCUGUUUGGCUAUGUUAUGUAUAUGUCAAAUUCGAUAUUAUCAAAAGACUAGUUGAGUCUAGAUUUCCAAGAAAGGUCAUGGAAAUCCAAUAAUGGAUGAGAAAAGUAAGAUCGGUUGUAGUUACUUUCAUGACUAAUCUUUAACUUUUUUCUGGUUUGACGAGGGCUGGGAAAGAAGUGUUACUCUUUUUCACGUCACACGGUAGCCAUCCAUGGAGAUUAUAUUUUGAGCGUCCUUCUUGGAAAGCUCCACGUGAACUCUAAGAAAUUAGUUAUGAACGUCUAUGUAUUUUUUGUUUAAUAUAUUAAAAAUAUCUUAAGUGUUGGUAAAUUUAAGGCGUAAUAAAAAAAGAUAAGGUAAAUGAAAAUUGGUAAAAAUAACAGAAGUUUGUAAUUAAAAAAAUAGAUUUGAUAAGUAACUCAAAUAAGAGUUGGUAACCCAAACUAUUUGAUAACUUAAAUAGAGAAAAGUCACCACGUCACUCUCAUUAAAUAUGGUAAUUUAAGAAAAAAAAAGUUGAUAAUUCUGAGGCAUUACUAAGAAAUGCAAAUGGAAAUUUGUAAGCAAUAAGAAAAGUUAGAAAUAAAGAACUGAAUAAAUUGUUAGUAAGUAACUUACAUGAAUGUUGAUAAUACUAAGUAGUAAUAUUACGGGAGACAAGUUGGUGAAUCACGUUAACUAAGGCUGGUCAUUUUAGAUAGAAUCAGUAAAUACAAUAAACAUUAGUAAACCAAAUAAAAAUUGGUAAUGCAACACUAAUUGGUAAUUUUAUAUAACAAAAGCUGGUAAAUUACUUGAAUUUAGGUUGAUAAGUCAUGCAAUAGUUGCUUUACGGAUCACUACAUUAGAGAUGCCUAGGUGGGGAGAUAGAACCUCGGUCAUGAUGUUUUCGAUCAACAUAAUAGGAUUGGGUGGUGAGAUACAUUGACCACCCAAUCCGCAACCUUAGUACAAUUCUCUUGCUUGAUAUGCGGCUUGGGCUUGGGCUUUAAAUUUAGGUGGACAAUUCUCUUCAGGUCUUGGAAAUUUGUCAAACGAGCUUGGGCCUUCAGUGAUAAGAGACCACCUCCCAGCUCGCUUGAUCUGUGCCUCCGCAUAUCCCCCGCACCAGAUCAGAGUGUUCUGUUUCCAGCUCUCGACUUCGGUUCGGCUUCUGCUUCGUAUUGAACGGUGGCUACCGCUUCUGAUUGUAACGCCGGGCCCACUCUCGCCGGUCGAGCAAAGCCAUCGAUCAAGAAGCUGUAGUCGUCACGGUGGCAUACGCGAGCAAUGGCUCCUUCCCCUGUUUCUGGUACAGAAGAUCCAUGGACAUUUAUCUUGAGCACGUCGCGGGAUGGGGGGGCUUCCGACAUUGGGGUAAGUCCAUUCGCUGCUGCGAUUUCGCCUGCGUUUUUGUCUACCUAUCUUUCUGAGAUUAUGAUUCUUCGCCAGAGCCGAGUUGAUGAGUUGCUUGAGGGGUUCGGACUUCAAGCUCUGAACACGAGGUUGUUCUGCGCUUUCUAGAUCUGCCAUGGCAACAGAGCAAGGAGCUCGAAAGUAACUGAGGUGUGGUUGAACUUCACGAGCCACGCUUCGAUUAUGGUCACGCCUUGAUUAUAGACCCUACUCGACUUUACUUCUUCCAAAUUAUGUCAACUUGUGGGGCUUAGGCCAUUUCUUAAUCCUUCAAUUAUACUUUUAGCACUUCUGUCGAUCGAUGCCGCAGCACAAUGGGAAUGGAAAUGGAAACCGAGCCUCACUUUCCUACCUGACCAUCGCUCGUCAGACCCCUGUUCCAAACGGAGUUCUUCCAACUUCCUUGAAUUGUGUUCUCCAUCAUCCAAGUCUUGCAAAAUUGCUUUAAAAUGUGGUGUUUAUUGUAAAACCACAAAAGCUCGUUCAAUUUUGAGCACGACUUUUUUUUUGUCAAGGAUUUUCUCACAAUUUAAGAGAAGACUACUUAGAAAUUAAUUUUUGAAUUUUUCCAAUUUUUAGAGAAAAUAAAAAAAAUUAGGAAAUUNNNNNNNNNNNNNNNNNNNNNNNNNNNNNNNNNNNNNNNNNNNNNNNNNNNNNNNNNNNNNNNNNNNNNNNNNNNNNNNNNNNNNNNNNNNNNNNNNNNNNNNNNNNUACGGAUCCGGUCCUGUCGAGACCCGACUCGGGUCUCACCGAGCUGGGCCGAAACGAAGGCCAGGCUCUUAUACUAAGCUUUAAAGCCCAACUAUCCAAUAUUAAACCAAAGCCUUGCCCCCACGCUAAUUCUAAAAUGAAGCCCAGCCAAAACCCUAAUUCGUCUGGCCCAACCCACGAAAGUCAAGAAAAGACUUAACUCAGCCCACUGCCCGACCCGAUUGACCCUACUGUCCCAACGUCCUGCAUCGUGCCGCGACGGAGACGGUUGACGGGAGCAGCAUCGAUCGCCUUCAGCCCGGUCGAGGGCGCAUACUGGCGUCGCCUCAGUCGACUCGGGUCGAGCGCUCGACCCUCGCUUGGCCGGUGAUGCCCCAACAACAGCCACGGCGGGACGACCAUCGAGCACCCAAUCCCCCGGAACCAAUGGCCUACGCGGAUGACCACAACGGCAGCCACGGACCGGCCACCUCGCGUCCACCCCGCCAGCAACAUCACCGCCUAGGUCGUUGCCUACCGGCUGACUUCAACCCUCUCGGCCAAGAACCACACUCCUCGGCCAGGCACCCAAGAUGUCGAAAAGGAAGGGGGUCGAGGCAAAACGACACUGGGGACGACCCCAAGUCACCGGCAAAGGCCGACUCACAACCAAGAAAACAGAAAAACAACGCACAGGGCUGGGAUUCGGCCACGAACAAAUAGCGAGGCAAUGAAUCCCAUACGAGCAUUUUAACAAACAGGUGGUGUACGACGCUUACCGAGGGAUCUCUCGCUCAACCAGGACCCGAACCUACGCCAGGACUCUAGACAAACAACCGGCCAAAACAGACAACGACGAAACACGAGGCCGAUGGGGAUGGGAUUCACGUGAGCCGGACGGCGACGAAUCCCAGCUGGCGCGUUGGAAAUGGGUCCAAAACAGGAAAAAAAAAAAAAACUCCAAGGGUUAAAAAGGGGGGGGGGGGGUCGGCGAUGGCGCUUCCUAACAAGCUCGACAGCGGCGAACAGGGGCAACCUCGAUAAACUGGACUAUGUCCAGUUGCCUCACGCCAACAAGUCGGAAUCCUCAGGAAAUCGACUGGAUUGAACCAAGAAAAAAAAAAAAAAAAGCUCACCAGAAAACUCGAAAUCGUGGAAAAGGGAGUCGCGGGCUUGGUGGUGCCUGCCGGCUUAGGGAUAGGUUUGUAUCGAAGAUAACCGAGCAACGCUCAGCCGAGAUGGAUUUCAGCUUUAUCCCCUCUCGUUCAGUCUUGGCCACUCUCUCGAUUUCUUCCAUUCUCCCCUUUAACCUCCACGCAGCCAUGCCUCUCUCUCUCUCUCCUUCUCUGUCGCUAUCGACCUUAUCCAGACCAAAAAGCCCUCUCAACGCUGCCCAGUCCUCUGCCCUGCAUCCUGCGCUCCUUUUUCAAAUGAGAGCGAUUUGCUGCUUGCAGAGGGCGCGAAAGGAAGUGGGGAUGAAGAAAGUGGAAGAGGUUGGGAUGGAAGGAAAAAAAGAAAUGGGCUGGGCUGGGCCUCUGGAAGAGAAGGGAAAGAUGAAAGGAGGCCAAGCUGGCCCAUCCCGGCCCGAUUUCGCUCUCUGUUUUCUUUAAAUAUAUAUUACAUUAUUUAUUUCAACUUUUUGAUAAAUUCUAUUAUUAUUAAUACAAAUGCCUUAAUAUCUAUAUACUAUGUAAUUUAAUGAGAACUAUUUUUUUUUCUAGGAGUCGAGUCAAUCCCUAACUUUCUAUGUCAUCAAAUUUUAAGUGUUAAUAGGUAGCAAUUAGCUUGAGGCUCACAAGUUUACUUUAUAAUGAAUUAGGCCAGAAGUUAAUAGACUUAGGAAUUAAUGCUAGACCUAACCAGAAUAAGUCCAACUAGAAAAUAAGAGGUCAACUUGCACUUAGCAUCACUUCAUCAAUGAAAUGGGUAGCAUAGUCUAGUUUAAAAAAUUCAUUAAAUAAAAUGAGUAGAAUAUUAGGCUCACCUUAAUCUAGUUUAGAUUAGUCUAAUCUCUAGCCUCUUAGUUCAUGGGGGUCAGCUAAUGUGUGGAUUGAGUGAACUUGCAAAUGGAUUGAGUAAUUGCAUGAAACAAAAAAGAUGAGGUUGACGAUGAAGACCCGUGGCCGAGAGAUAGGAGUGGUGGUCCUUGGUGGCAAUUUGCUUGGGGCUGGCUAGUUUAGCUUAGAAUUGAUUAGUCUAGUUUAGUUAAUAAAUUUAGGAAUUAAUGCUAGACCUAACCAAAAUAAGUCUAACUAGAAAAUAAAAAGUCAACUUGGACUUAGAAAACUUAAUCAAUGAAAUGGGUAGCAUGGUCUAUUCUAGAACUUUCAUCAAAUAAGAGUAGGAUACUACGCUCGCCUUAAUUUAGUUGAUUAGUCUAGUCUCUAGCCUCAAGCUCAUGGGAUCAUGGCCUGGGGCUUAAGAACAAAGCCAUGUAUAUUUUUGCUCGACUUGGUAUCGGGUCAAGCUCAUGGGAAUCAUAUCUUGGAGCUUAGUACAUAGCCAUAAAUAUUCUUUAUCCAAAGUAUCAGGAUUUCUUUCUUGUACUUUACUUAAACUUUUCAAUACUUGGGUGUUAAUUCCUGCACUUUUAUUACAUUGGUUGUUCUCUUGCUUUUUAGAAUGGUCAGGACAAACUUUAGGAUCAUAAUAAACCCCUAAAAAACAAUUGCAUAAAUACUUAGUGGUUUGGAUGGCCUUUAGGAUUUGUAAUGGGUAAUUACGACUGUUUGGUCACUUAGAUGAAUGAUCAAUCAAGUUAGAUGUACCAAAAGGGCACUAAUAAAAACUAUUAGUGUAAUCAAAUCUUCGGACCUAGUAAACUCUACUUGCCUAUCUCACUUGAUUUCUAGCUGAUCAUAAUAGGUUAAUAGUGACUCCCAACUCACAUAAAAUUGUUUAGGGUUAAUUGAACCUUAAAAUUAAUCCAACAUAUCCUAAGGCAAAAGUUUCGGAGAGCCUGUGCCCCCAUUAAAGGCUGUAAGCCCACCUUUUGGACAUAAUCUCUAAACUAAUUCCUUUCCUAAAUGUUGAGUCAGAAAAAGGGCCGUGACAGCUAUAUGGAAGCAUUAAUAAUGCUAGGAGCAAUAAAGUGUUGAAUUCAAACUUGUUUAUAGAGAGAUGUAAUCAGACAAUUAAUGUAGAAAUUAUGAGGGACACCCAAUACCAUCAUCAGGAAAGUUUUUGGUUUGAGUUCCAGACCUCAUCCCAGCAACGAUAUUUCUCAUGCGAGAAGCCUCUAUUUAAGGUCCUUGUGACGCGAAACAUCAACCCACCCUUGGCUCACUGAACCCUAUAGCUGGCUAGCAAGAGUAAUCCUUCGCUCUAAUGCCGCACCUCCUCCUCCAUCACCACCACCACCACCACGACGAUGCAAUCCUCACAACCCUCUCAAGCAUGCACAGACCUGAUCUCCUCUCUCCCUUCGGAUAAAGGUUGGGACAACCCCUCUCUAAUCUUGUACCAGGGCUUUCUGGUUCCCCUCUUGGCUAUUCGACGGCGUCCUAGCUUGUCAAAAACACUUCCAAGCUCACAACUCUGAUAUCAUCCUCGUCACCAGCCCGAAAUCUGGUACCACCUGGCUAAAGGCCAUCCUCUUUGCUCUUUUGAACCGUGCCGAGUACUCUAACCCAAACUCAGAACGAUGCCACCCCCUCCAAACCCGAAACCCCCACGACCUCGUGCCCUACUUGGAGUUCCAGCUCUAUCUCCAACAAGAAGAUCCUGAUCACGCUACUUUCGCAUCCCCGAGGCUCCUUGCCACCCACUUACCUUAUUCCUCGCUUCCACAGUCAGUGAGGGACUCCAAGUGUAAGCUGGUUUACUUGUGUAGGAACCCUAAGGACAACUUCAUCUCGCUAUGGCACUUCACCAAGAAAAUGAUGCUCAAAGAGAACGGCGACCAGACUCCUCUCCCUGAGUGCCUCGACAAGUUUUGUCAAGGGUUGAGCAUGUACGGACCUUACUGGGACCAUGUGCUGGGCUACCACAAGAUGAGCUCGGAGAUGCCCGAGAAGGUGUUGUUCAUGAAGUUUGAGGAGAUGAAAGAGGACCCAUGUGUUCAUGUGAGGAGAUUGGCCGAUUUUGUGGGGUGUCCAUUCAGUGAAGAAGAGCUGAGAGGCGGGACUGUGGAGGGAAUACUGAGGAUGUGUAGCUUUGACAAUUUGAGCACGUUGGAGGUGAACAAGAGCGGGAGCCUUUGGACUAGAGUAGAGAACAAGUCGUUCUUCAGGAGAGGCGAGGUCGGAGAUUGGGUGAAUUACAUGAGUGCGGAGAUGGGGGAGAGAAUAGACAGUGUCAUGGAAGAGAAGUUGCACGGCUCUGAGUUGAAGUUUUAGCAAGCUGAACACACUCAUUUAAUAAUUCCCAUCUGUUGUGUUUUAGCUUCGAAGAUGUUCCCUCUAAUGGACGAGAAGAAUAAGUACAAAUUGCUAAAAAAAUAAAAAUAAAUGCAUCGAUUUUCAGUGGCAUUGUCAGUCGAUGCUUUGUCUCCAUAGCGAGACGCUACAGGGUUGUGAUUCCAGUCUUCGUUUAUGUUGUACUAUUGGCAUUUGCAGAUGUUGUUUGGCCCAACAUUUAGUUGGGCAAUAAAAAGCUGCCUUCCUAAAUCAAAGAUUUCCUUAGAGUUUUGCUCCAAAUUUCUUUGCCAUUUUCAAAUCUCGUUUAAUGUUACCUGCGCCAUCCCAAAUAAGCUCCUCUUGUAGUGCCAGGAGGGCAUCUACCCCUAACACUGGAUAAGUUCGGACUAAGUAUGUAUCGACACACGACGUUAAGGAGAUGGUGGAAUAAACCUUUUUCUCUCCUUAAUAUGAAAUAUUGACCAACUAAGCUAAGUUUAGUUGGCUCUAAUCUCAUUGACCUUACAAGUGAAAUGAUGAUCAUCUUUAACCAUCAGUUUUAAUUGGUCUCUUUCCCGUAUUGAAAAUAUUCAUUGUGUCCUCUUCUACAGUUAGAAUAAAAAAAGUACGUUUUAUAUAUGAUUAAAUAGUCUCAAAUUCAAUCAUAUAUGAUAUAUCAUUAUGGGAUAUACAGACAAUUUAAACGUGCACAGAUUCUUGUGUAAAAAGAUGAGAAGAGAAGUUCCGUUUUUUGGGAUAUUUGCUCAUUUCUCUCCCCAAGUACCUUAAUGAAAUCUUUGAUGACAAGGAGGAUACUCAUGUAAUUUAAGAAUCCGUUGUAAUAAUCAUUGUAACAUUUUUUUUUUCUCAGGGAGAUACUUUCCUCUCCUCUUCCCUAUUGAGAAAUUAUAAAUUGUUGCCGAAAGGUCGUUUUUACAUAUUUUCAAAAAAAUUAGAGCUUGUUCUUGCAGUUUAGAUUACUCAGGUAUAUUGUACAUCUUCUAAAACGGGAUUAGUUUCCUAGGAAUCUAUUUUUCCCAAAAAAAAAGUAAAGCAAAGGGGACAUGAGCGAAUGAGAAAAAUCAGGGAAACUGCCCGAGUAAAACAGAGAGCGGAGCAUGCUGCCAACAAAACAAAUGAGACCUGCAGCAGGAAGAGAUAUGGGGUCUUCAGCCGACAAAAGACAACAUGACGAGAAUUCAGCUGCAAUGUCAUGUGGUCGACUUUCCUCAGCUCCAAAAUUUGACCCCCAGAAUCAUUACCAAGAACCUAAAUCGAGCAUCACAUGGGAUCUGCCAUGUGGUUCGAACUGGAAGAUUGGAAAGAAAAGCCAUGUGGUAUUCCCCUGAAGACAUCGAAGUUGAAAUUCUCCUAAGGCACAAAAUCGAGAGUCAAAAGCAAAACAUGGAGGAAGUGAAAAAUUACGUGCAAGGGUGAGGUUGUGGGCAGAGAGUGAAUGAACAGAGAGAAUACGUUAGCUGCAUGUGUUGUCGAGGAAGUGAAGGUGCUCUUGGUGUGUGUUUAAACCGACUGCUAAGCAUGUUCCCGUUACUCAGGCCGCCAAUAAUAUCAUCUGAUCAUACUAUGAGGUAUUUACUAAGUCCUACGAUCUGAACAUGAAUAUGGAUAUAUUCUCAAUACACCAACUCGAAGGUUGCGUGUUGAACUCAGAGUCUUCGUCAUUUCAUUAUGGGAGGGGCUUAUGUGCG
rnacentral:lncRNA from 1 species